rnacentral:lncRNA from 1 species
AAGUCUCUUUCAAUCAUAAGAUAUACCAAAAUUCUACAAAAUUAAACUUCUCAAUUAGCAAUUGUCUAUCAAGAAUACAUAAUAAUUUAUAUAUUGUAUACUAAAAUAACAUACUAAAAUUUUAAAAAACUCACCUCAAAUCACAAACAAAUUUAUUUCUUUAAUCAUAGAUACUAUCAAAAUUUUAUUUGAUAGAAAAUUUUAUACCUAAAGAUGUUUUCCCCAUACAUACAGAAAAAAAGCUUGACAUUGUCUGCUUUGGUUCUUCCCAGCAACAAACCUACAACAAGAUCACGAAAAGCUCAAGAAAAAUUGUAUUUAUCAAAUUAUAUAUCGUAUUGAUUGAAAUUGACUCCUAAAUUAUAUGUUUUCUAAAAUUUAGAAUUUUAAAAUAUAGAGUAAAUAGUAUAUUUAAUUUUUUUUUCAAAAAAAAAAAACAUGUUAAGCACUUUUGUAUACUUUGUGGAAAUACACGUUUAUAUAAAAUAUUAUUUAUGAAAUAUAAUUAGGUAUAAUUAUUCCUUUCUAAUAUUUUAGGGGAAAAGGGAACACAAUUUUGGCCACAAAUUGUUCCGUAUUAUUGUUUAUCAAAUUACAUAUAAAAGUAUUGAAUAUUUUCUUAAUUAAAUACAUUAGAAGUAGUAGUAAAAUAUAUUUUUCGCUUACUAUAAAUUUUAGGAUGUUAUAAAUAUAUUACCAUAUACAGUGAAUGUCUACUUUAUCUUACAUAGUGAAUGUCUAAUUUAUUAUAUAUAGUGAAUAUUUAUUUAUGGAAAAGUUAGAAACCCCAAGGUUAGUUUUUCCCUAUAAAUAAAGGAGUUUCUCUUCAUUGUAAUUCACCCCAUCAAGAAUCUUCAUGAGAAAUAAAGAAGUCUCCUCUCUUCUCUCUCUAUUCUUCUUGUAUUUACUUUAUAUUUCAUAAGACGUUAUCAGCACAAGACUCUGCCAAAUAAGGUGAGAUUAUAAAAUUAAAGGUAAUUUUAUGGUUAGUAAUUCCUUGUAUUAUUUAUCUUUUGCUACUAAUGAUAUAUUUAUUAUUGAAUUUGAGGAAAAAUAUUUGGUUUGGAACCACUUAUGCUUUAAAUUUAUUCAUGAAGAAAAAUAUUGUUAAAAGCUAUGUUGAUGAAUUUAAGUCUCAUCUCAUUAAGAACUCACUAAGAUAAUCUCAUUAAGAGGGUAAGAUGUUUCGUUAAAAGUUUCAAUGCACCACGAUGAUAAGACGUUGGGUUAAAAGUUCCAAUGCACCAUGAUGAUAAAAUGUUGGGUUCAAGUCCCAUUGAGUUACAGACUAAGACGCCUUUUUAUGUAUAAGCUUUUGAGUUUGAAUCUCAAUACACCAUAUUGAUAAUAUUAUGAUGGCUAAGGCAAAAUAAUGGGUGUUUGGUGAAAGUCAUGAAACAUAUCCAUUGAUAUGCUCCAUGAAGUGAAUAUAGUAGCAAUAUAUGAUAAAUCUAAAAGUUGACAACUUGCUCCAUUCUUGAAGUGAAUGCGGUAGAAGUGCAUAAUAUGUCUGAAAAAAGACAAGGGAUGAUAUUUUCAUGUACUUAUUAUGAUUAUAAUUAAAGAUAUGUUGGAGAAAAGUUUUCUACAUUAUAUGUAUGCCUCGAUUUGCUCUUGAAUUAGCAAUAUGUUGAAAGAGGUUAUUAGCUAUCAUAAUUUGAUAGGCUUAAGGCACGAUUAUAUUCCAUUCUUGGGUACUGAGGGAUUUAUUAUAAUGCAAACGUGCACUUGAUUGUGAUGAUAUCACAACUUACCUCCGAAAGAGGUUGAAUAAUUGAGAAUAGUUAUUUUGGAAUCUACUUCUAAAGUAGUAAAUCUGAAAUUUAUUCAUGUAAUAGUAAAUCUGAAAUUUACUAAAAUAAAAGGUGCAUGUCAUGGUAAACUUAGGUUUACUAGAAUAAAAGUUCAUAAAUUGACAUGAAUGAUUGCGAAAUCCCAAAGUUGUGAUAUGUUGAAAAGAUGCUUCAAUAAGAUAAUCACAUGUACAUUUAUUGUCAAUCUGUAGUUUGACAUUCAUAAAGUUGUUUGCUCAAUAAAAUUGAGUUAAGAGCAUGAUUUUCAGAUUGUGUGAUGAUGAUGGUUUGGCAUUGAAUGUCUUUAAUAAAUAGUUAAAUCAUUGCUAAUGAGAAUAAAGCAUCAUAUAUCGAUCUGAAAUAUCAUAUGACCAAUAAAUUAUGAUUAUUUCCACCUUCUCAAUUGGUUCAAGGUCAGGAACCAACUAUUUCAUCUAAUAAUUUUGAUGCGUGGUAUACAAUUAAUGAAUAUACCAUGAUGCACAAAGAUGGAUUCCUCAAAGAAGAUGAAGGAUGUAUGUUAGUUUUUCUAGCAUAUGGGGGAGAUUAUAAGAAGCUAUUAAAUAUGUUAGGAAUUAUCAUCAGAUCCUCAUUCAAAAAGAUAAUUCAAGUCAAAUUGUUGAAAGCAUUUCAUAUUUAAUCUGCAAAUGCUUCUAUUUUGUGUUUCUAAAGGACAAAGUCUAUGCAUGCAUGAAGCAUGGUAUACAAAUCGAUUCCAAAUAAAAUAAUCCUUGAAAAGGAUAAGAAGCUCAUAAUCAUAAUAAGAAGGCAAUUUAUUCUUGAAGAUCCUACGACAUAACACUUCAUGUAACCUUAUGAGAGGUUCAGGUAACUGAAAAUAAUAAAAUGAUGAGAUCUGAAAAUGUUAUGUCAUAUUGUGAAUUGAUACGAAAUGAUGUAUCAUUGAUACAAUAUUGGAGAAAUAUUGUUAAAGAUACAAAGAUCAUAAUUCUACGUUUAUUCAAACAUGCUGAUGUAGAAACAUUUAUUAACUGACAUGAAAGAAUGCAUUUUGAUAAGCGUAAAACUUAAUUGAUGUGCAGUCCAUACACUUGAAGAUGUCGCACAUGAUACACUGAAUAUUCUCACUUAGACAAAAAUGUAUAUGAAAAUUCCUAAAGGAUUCUAAAUACCUGAAGCAUGUAAAAGUUUCUAGGAAACUUAUUUAUAAUCCUUAUAUUAUAUAAGCUUAUAGUUUGAAAAUUAUUGAAAAUCUUGGAGAAUUUUCAAAGCAAUAGAAUAUUUGCUUAAAUGAGAAACAUGCAUAAUUGAAUAAGGAUUCAUUCCGACCUCAAGAAAAGAAUGAGGAACUCCUUGGGUAUGAAGUACCAUAUCUUAGUGCAAUUGGUGCACUAAUGUAUCUUGCAAAUACUACAAGGCAUGACAUAACCUUUUUUGAUCAAUUUAUUACUAAGGGAUAUAUAGUUCAGCUCCUACUAGGAGACAUCGGAAUGAUAUCAAACAUAUGAGUUAUUUUAUUCUAAAGAUUAUAGUCUUGAUUUUGUUGAUUAUGCUGAUACUGGAUAUUUAUUUAACCCGCAUAAAUUUCGAUCUUAAAAAUGCAAUAUGUUCACAUAUGGGGACAUUGUCAUAUCUUGGAGAUAUAUAAAGCAGUCUAUCUAGUCAUUUUACUAAACAAUGCUGGUAUAAUAGCUAUUCAUGAAGCGAACCGAGAAUGUGUGUGGUUGAGGUCCAUGAUACAUCUCAUUCGAGAAAAAUGUGGUUUGAAAUAUGAUAAUGUAUCCAUAAUUUUAUACAGAGAUAAUGCAACUUGCAUAGCACAUUUUAAUGGAGGAUUCAUAAAAGGAAAUAGAACGAAGCACACCUCAUGAAAGAUUUUCUACAUACAUGAGCUAUAAAAGAAUGGUGAUAUUAACGUGCAACAAAUUCGUUCAAGUGACAAUGUGGCUGAUUUAUUCACCAAGUCUCCUUCAAUUGCAACUUUCAAGAAGACGGUGCACAAGGUCGAGAUGCAAAGUAUCAAGGAUGUUCCCAUUAGAGGGAGUUAAUAUGCGUUGUACUCUUUUUUCCUUACAAGAUUUUGUCCACUGGGUUUUCUUUGUAAGGUUUUUAAUGAGGCAGCCUAUAUGCGUAUUAUUAGAGAUGUGUACUCUUUUUCCUUCACCAGAUUUUUUUUUCCACUGAGUUUUUUCUAGUAAGGUUUUAACAAGGCACAUUAUCUAUUAAUUAGACAUUCAGGGAGAGGGUUAUAAACAUAUUACCAUAUAUAGUGAAUGUCUACUUUACCAUACAUAGUCAAUGUCUACUUUACCAUAUAUAGUGUAUAUCUAUUUAUGAAAAAGUUAGAAACCCCAAGGUUAGUUUUUUCCUAUAAAUAAAGGGGUUUUCCUUCAUUGUAAUUCACCCGUUCAAGAAUCCUCAUGAGAAAUAAAGAAGUCUCCUCUCUUCUCUCUCUAUUCUUCUUGUAUUUACUUUAUAUUUCAUAACAUAGGACACCUUUUAUCAAUUUUCCUAAUAUAUUUUUAUCACAUAUUUUUCUCUUACCAUAUAUUUUAAGAUUUCUUAGUUUUUAAAAUAUAUUUUCCACUUACCAUAUAUUAAAUAGUAAAAAGACAAUUUUGUCUAUUGCGAAGUAUUUUAAUGAAGGACAAAAAAUUCAAAUCACUUUUCUAAGUGUCUUUAUACUUUUAAUAUAUUAUAGAUAUAUAUUAUAGAUAUAGAUAUUGUGAUAAGAUCAUAAAUCCUCAUAAAUUCUGAAAGUAACUUAAUAUUAAAAGUUAGCUCAUUUGAUGUAAAUUGUUCAAGACCAUAUAAAGAGAUCAAAUUACACUUUUCAUAUUGAUGCACAACUCAAUUACCUUCUCUCACGCAAAAUUUAGUGAAUUUAUUAAUUUUCCAAAUAAAGUGAAAAAUUUUCAUGAUCAAACUUAAUGUAACGUUAUUUCUCUACAUCAAACAUUUAUUAACUAACUCUGUUUAGAAAAUUUAUCCCUAACAAAGAAAAAAGAGGUUGAGCCAUUAAGUAAGGGUAUUUGUGGUUCAGUAACUUCCAAACAGCGAAGACUAAACUAUUGAAUUAUAGUUAAUUGUACAAAGAGGGAAUAGAUAACUCAUAUAAAAAGUGAGUAAUAUAACUUUCAUGUGACUUUUAUAAAAAUUCACAUAAAUUAUAAAAAUAUAUAUAACUCACUUUUUAUGUGAGUUAUAUAAAAACAAAAAAGGAUAACUCACAGAGGUAGAGAGAAACCACUUUUUUGUUAAGCCGGUCCCAUUGAUUUCAUUCAAGCUUAUUACGAUCAGGCUCAUUUGGCUUAGAUCUUGCCUGGAAAUUGGUUAGGGUCAUUCGUUUGGCGCUUCGAGGUUGUCUUCGACUCAUAGAAUAAGGAAGCCCACUUUCUAGUCUCAUUUCUGAGUUAAAAAAGUCAAACUUCUGAAGUGAGUUGUGUGGAAACAAAAAGGAUAAUAACUCACUUAAAAAGUGAUUUAUGCACUUUUUGGUAACUUUAACACCGUUAAUUUUCUGCCGUUAAAAUAAAAAGGCAUAAUUCACUAAAAAAAAGUGAGAUAAGCCUAUUUUUGUGCUACUUUAAGUAUAUGGCAUAUUUUAAUACUUUUUUUAAAUUGAUGACGUAGUUUGGUCGCUGACUCUCUCUACAAUGUCAAAACCCUCCUCACCCUCAAAAACAAAUGAACUCACUACCCUAAAAAUGAUAGAUACUCCCUCUAUUUCAUCUGGGUACUAAGAAAGGAUUGCUAUUACUAAAUUUUACCCUCUGUCCCUGCGCAAAAUUGCUAGGAAUUUCAAUUCCAAGAAGGAUGAAACCCCCGAUGCUUCUCUGCAAAAAGAGAAAAUAUUAUUGAUGACCUUUUAAAGUCCAAAAUAGCUUUCCCUGACAAUGUUGUUCCAAAAUAGCUUUCCCUGACAAUGUUGUUCCUAGUGAGGAAGAAUACAAGGUUGAUCUCCUCAAAAGCCUCUUUUUUGCGCUCUUCUCUUAAGCCAACAAAUAUGAGGAAUCAAUCUCUGACCAACCAAUUCCUUUUAGUCAGGAUUUUGAUUCCUCCUAAAAGACCCAAACUCUCUCAUCUGACAAGUUCACUUCCUCCAGUAAAUCAGGUAGUGCUUCCUUGGAUGAAACCAUGUUUAAAGAUCUGCCAACUUCUAAGGAGCCUCCCUCUAACACUCAAUCCAUGAGCGAGGAAAUUGGAGUACAGGGCCUCACAGCCUUAAGUGUAGAACCACUAAGAUGGAAAACUCCUCCUACAACUCUUUUUGCAAAUAGACCAAAUGUCUCAACUUCUGGUGGUUAUAGUGAACAUAAGACCCUUUCCCCGGUACUUGAUCUUUCAGGUAGGAAUAAGACUAUACAAAGUGUCUCAGCUGGUGAUAAUGACAAACCACUGCCCUAGAAAUUGUCCUGGAAGGAAUCAGUGGCUUCAGGAAGAGAUAGGACACCAGGAACCAUGGCAAGUUGCAGAAAUACAAUGAAAGAAGCUCUAGUUAAAAACAAGAAUGACACCAAAAGGAGAUAAAGUCAGUAAAAAAGGAAGAGGGAUAUAACGUCCUGAAAUUCUGUCCCGGAGCGUCAUACGAUGCUUAAGGCUACAAGUAGCCCCAAGAUAACCCUUUGAGCCUGCUACUUAGUAUAAAGCUUACUUAAAGAUAAUGGAAGAAAAAUAAGGAAUCAUGUUAUAUCAUUUCUAACCGAAAUCCAAAUGAGUAUUGUAAAAGUAACAAAAUACUGUAAAUCUAAAUAUACUGACCAUCUAGUCUGACAAAGCCUCUACUACUCAAAAAACUAGAGAGCCAUUUGGACAUAUCCCUAACUAACUCGAACUGAACUGAAAGCAGUAGAACAACUACUAAAAAUACUGAAGUGUCUGGAGAUAGGUCCUUGAACCAUGAGGACUCACCAAAGUGGAGGUGUAGAUAAAGAUACUCGGGAUUACUGACGCUGCUGGGACUGAGCACCUGAACCUACAUUAUGAGACAAUGUAACACACAGACGUAUAUGUGGAUCAGCAAUUGGGAAUGUACUGAGUAUACGGGGGUGUAUGCAACUAAAUAUCAAUAUAAUAAAUCUUUAUAGAAAACAUACAUAGUUUGUAGAUGACUUGCAUAGCUUGAAUAAAACUCUCAUAAAUCAUGAAUAAUGAAACAUAUAGUAUAAUUCACGUGAGCCAUUACACUUUAUUCUAAAUCUGUAUUCUUUCUUUGAUCUCAAGCUUGUAAACUAGUUGAACUCUUAAAACAACAACUUUUAGAACAUGCAGUUUAGUCUUUUGAAAACAAGGAACUUCUUUGAAACUCAAGGACUUAAAACCUUAAUAACUUUAAGACUUGAGACCCUAUGAAACUUGGAAGUUUCUUCUAACCGACAUAAACCAUGUGAGCUACAUGGAGUCGAACAUCUUGUCCACGUUGGGGAGAGCUGUUCUAUCCUUGCCAUCAGAGUAGAACCUUUUACUUUUAGUGAUCACUAGCUUAACCACUUGGGGUAAAUCAACUCCUACGGUGGCUCAUAGUUCUGGGGCAUGAGACCUUGGAAUCAAGCCCAACUCAGUGCUAAAUACUACUCUCAUACUUAAACUCAGAACUUUUAAGAAAAAUACACCUUAAACAACUCAGAAUAUGCAAUGGAAGCCAACUAUGCUUCCCUUUAGCUUAAAUCAAAUGGUGUGGAUUUUCUUUCUUAGCUUAGGAUUAAAAUCAACACUUUUCUUGAAACAUUGGUAGACUAUCACCAAUAGGAUUUAAAACUUUAAUAGCAUGGAAAUAUCAAUACACUUCUUGAAACACUUUAGAAAGUAUCAACAAUUCAUUCUUGGACUUAAGGCAUGUAUAUUCUUAAAGGAUCACAAUUUCACAAUAAACCUUAAUUCAUGACACCAAUCUUGGAAACUCUUGAAAAUAUCACAUCAAUAUAGGAAUGUGCAAUUUAUAGCAUGAAUUAUCAAUUCAAAUCAUAAAUAAGCAAAAUAAUCAUGUAAUUCAAAGCUUGAACAACUUAUCAAUUCAUAUUCUCAAAAUAAUAUAAUUUGGGUAUUGACCCACUUGCAAAAACAUGAAAUUCAUUUUUAAAAAUCGAAUCUUUGGUCACAAGAAUGAAAGAAGUGUUCUUGUUCAAACCCCACAUACCUUGAAUUAGGAGCUUUGGAUGAACUCUAGCCCUUGGGACUCUAUUCAUACACUUGAAUGGAUAUUCUUGAUGGUCUUGGUUUGAGGAAUCCAAUUCUUAAAUCAAUUUGGAGAAUUAAUGGUGAACUUAGGAGAUUCUUGGAAUUGGGUUUGGAUGCUUAGGAUUUUUAAUUGAGAGAAUUCAUUGAGAAAAGUCGUAUACGAUGCUUGGAAUGACCUUGGAUUAGGUGUUUGGAUGAUUUAAGGGGCUUGAAAAAAGUCCAAAGUGCCCCCUACGAAGCUGGAAAAAUUGAACUGAAAAACCUGAUUUUAUGGGCCACCGCAAUGCACCACUAUCGCAGUGUCUUACUGGAAUUUGAUAAGUGGGAUUCUGGGGGUCACCGCGAUGCGGUGCUAUCGUGUUGUCCUACUGGUUAGGACCGGGAACUUCACCAUGACGCGCCGCUAUCAUGGAGUUCCACUGAAAAUUGAAAAUUGUCAAAUAGACCCUCUUCUCGAUGUGCCAAGCACUAAAAUAAUGUUGUUUUACGACUAGGACUUAAAUUAGCCAUAACUUCUUGCCCGGUUAUUGGAUUUGGGUGGAUCAUAUAUCAUUGGAAAAUUAAUUAAAUUUCUCACAUGAUAAAAAGUCGAAAUUAGGAAAAUUCUAUAUGGUUUAAAUGAUACUCACGUAGGAAGUUAUUCCUUAACCUUCUCGAGGCAAAAUUAAGCUUAAGAAAAGUUUGGGGUAUUACAAGGGAUCUCCUAAAUUCUUAACAAUCUGUAGUGAUCUGAAUGACAUGAAUAUAAAGAAUGCUAUCAAGAAGUCACUGAAGGGUGAGUACCAACUCCUCUUUGAGUUGGUGAAUAAGUGUUUUCUUUCCCAAAUAGAAAAAAACCCACUGUAACAAGCACAGAUUUAUGUCUCAUGGAAAUGUUGGCCAAGUUUAAGACAAUCAAUCUUCCUACGCUCAUCAUUGAGCACAUAUAUACAGUGAUGAUUGCAAAGAAUGGAAAACAUAGGUUGGCCUAUGGGUUCUGGCUCACAGGAUCUUUGAUCAUUUCAAUAUGAUGUAUGGGCAAGGGAAAGUUGGAUCAAUUAAGCAGGUGUUUAACUUGACCACUCUGGAGGAUAAUGAGUGUGUCCCCAGGAGAGGUGGUGGGAAGUCCAAGUCUCUUGUAUCUGAACUGAUGGAAACACAUAAGAGGUUGAAGAAAGAACUAUAGUCCAUGACUGCCUUGAUUUCCCAUACAGAUACUGAAAUUAUUGCACUAAAAGCAACAUCUACAAAGGUAGGAGAAGUAGAUACAGAUUCACAAAAAAAGUUGCAUUCUAAAAAUAUUUCCCUAUAGGAAAGGGUGAAGAAUCUUGGAGACAAAGUUGAAACAUUAACUGUCAAAAAUGAGGACCUUACUCAGCAGAUCCUUGAAGUACAUGCAAAAGCAAGUGAGAGGAUGGUAAUGUUUCUUAGGAAAUAGUCAAAAGUUUCUUUCUAGAUUAUCUCAUUUCUUUAAUCCUCACUCCCUCUCCCUCAACUCCUACUCUUAUUGCUUCUGUGAUGACUUUGGCACAUGUAUAAGUUAUUUUACUGUCACUAUCUUUGAAUGGUUUUUUAAUUGAUCUAAUUUGAUAUUAAAAGUUUGUUUUGUGUUUCCCUUCUUCUACUUUUAUCUGCUAUCUCUUGCAUCUGUAAGUGUUGCCUCUAUGACCAUGAAUUAAUAUAAAUGACGUAUCUAUUUCCUGGUUUACUGUUUAACCUCUUUGAUGAUGUCAAAAGAGGGAAGUCGUGAUGUGUAGAUAUGUGGGUGUAGAUAUGGAUUCGUAGAUAUGUGGGUGUAGAUAUGAAAUGUGUAGAUAUGUGGUCGAAAAGUUGUAGGGUUGUGUUUGAUAAUAGGAGUUCUCUCAUUUGGGAGGAACUUAAUUCUCAUUGUUAAGGGUAAUAAGGUGGAGGAUGCUUAUAUACUUAUAGGCAUCAGUGAUGGGGGAAUUGGUUGUGAAAACUGGUCUGGCAUGUGGUCUUAUGGCUUAUGUUAUGUUUUUGAGGUGUAGGUUGUGUUGUGUAGAAGUUUAUUGAAGAUGUUGAGUGUGCUGAAUUGAUUGUAUGGGUUUGUCAUCAUCAAAAGGGGGAAAAUUGUUAAGUUCAUGCUUUACAAAUUCAUAGCUUUGGACCUCUUCCCUGGAGGUUUUGUGAUGACAAAAGCUUCUACGCAUCAGGGAAUAGGGUGGGCUCACCGGUCGCUGUCACAGUCAAACUGCCACGGCUGACAUAUAGUACAAAAGUUGGUGAAAAGUUGCUGCAAGCUUUUUGUCUCAACCAAUGAGAUCUCUCCUAAGCUUUUUGUGUCAUAAUAUAUAUUGCUCAUCUUCCUCAAUAAGAAAACCAACACUUUUAUAUACUUACAAUUAAAUAUCUCACUGAAGUGGUGAAUCAAAGUCUGAAACUGUAACAAGGAACCUAUUGUUUAUCAAGUUGUAUAUUUAUUUCCUAGUUAUAGUUGAGUCUUUGUAUAUUGUACUUAAAUAAAUGAUUACCUACAGUAGCUUAUGAUUGUAGUAGGUAUUGUGGUGUAACCAUUUCUUGUAAUCAUCUAGAGUUAGGCGAUUGUGUCAAGCUAGAGUUAGCUUGUGAAGUCCAGUUAGAGUUAGCUGGAGGUGAGAAGCAGUAGAGUUAUUGCUUGGGUUUCCUUGUAAUAGAGUUAUUGCCAGAAAACAAAGGAUUAGGAGUCUAAUCCUUAGAGUAUGUAUUCAAGAAGUUGCUUGAAUAUAGUGGAGCUUAAAAUCCUGGAGGCAUGUCGCGGUUUUUCUCCCUUGAGCAGGAGUUUCCAUGUAAAAACUCUUUUUUUUUUUACUUUUUGUAUUUCUGCACUUCUUACUUUGUAGAUCUCCUAGUUCUUGUUGCAUGAGUUUAUCUGAGAACAGUUCCCUGAGUCGAGGAGCAACUCACCCCAACCCUUCAGGGGAAGACUACCCUCACACACCGCCACAACAAAAGGAAAAAUAAAACGACUUAAGAGUAAUAAUUGAGCAGAGUCAACUCAACAUUAAUUAAUGUACCAUCUAAGAUUAUCUUUAUGCUAGUAUAAACGUACUGGUUGUCAGCUAACAGGAUAGUUGCAUUUCACGUUACUCCAAGGGUGUGUUUGGUAUGAUGGAAUUAUUUUUUAGAAAAUAUUGUCUUAUUUUUUCUUGUUUGGUUGUAAUAAACUAUUGAAAAAAUAUUUUCCAAAGUGACUCAUUCUCCUCCAUUUGACAGAAAAUGACUUUCCUGAUGGGCCGAAAGUGUCGGUCAAAAAAGUACAAUUUGUGUUGUCAUUCGUCAAUGUAACAAACAAGUAGACAAGUUGUAUAUAAUGUACAUCAAUUGGGUAACUGGUGGUCAGUGAAAUUAUUUUACUAUGAUAUUAUUGAGAUAAAUUAUGGAAGACAAUCUUAUUAUUUUGUUUACAUCAAAGAAAUAUUCAAAGCAAUGUGUAAACAUGGGCACUGAGUAAUGAAGAUAAAUUUAAAUACUGAAAUGAUCCAAAUGAAAGAUACAACUAAAAUCAUAAUAAUACAAUGAUAUCUGAGUUGAGUUGGCGCAUAACAGAGAUUGAAGAACUGAUACAAAACAGGAGGGAUUAGGGGUGUGUUUGGUACGAACGAAAAUAUUUUCUAUGGAAAAUGUUUUCCUAGAAAACGUUUUCUUGGAAAACAAGUAGAUUUCUCACUUAUUUUCUUGUGUUUGGUUGGUAGAUGGAAAAUAUUUUUCGGAAAAUAGUUUGUAAUGUUUGGUUGGUGAAUGAAAAAAAUAUUUUUCAAAAAAUACAUUUUAAUCUUUAGCUAACACGUAAAAAUACAUUAUAGAAAAAUAUUUUUUGAUCUCAAAAAAUAUUUUUUGGGGUGUGUUCGAUAUGAAGGAGGAGAAAUAUUUUCUAAAAAAAUAAGUUGUUUCUUACUUAUAUUUAGGGGUGCAUUCGGUUUGUUCGGUUUGAUUGUUGAAUAUCGGUACAGUUUUUUGGUUUUCGGAUUGACGAAAAUGACAAUCAUAACCAAACCAAAAUUAUUUCGGUUUGGUUCGACUUUUACAAAUUCGGUACGUAUAUUUCGUAUUUUUAUUUUGAUUUUGAAGAUUAAAGUAGUGAGCAUUUAAAAUUGGUGAUUUUUCUAGAAAAAUAAUCUUUUUUCAAACCUAUUUUCAUUCUUAAAUAUAAUUAAUUCAACACGAAUGAAAUAAUCAUAAAUAUCGACUUCGCUGAGUUAUCAUUGUUGGCGUAACGACAAUGAUUGCACGCAACAGCGACUGUCGACAGCAGUGACGGGGUUGUCAAAAGAGAUAGUAAGGGUGGGUAAGAAAAUAAUUUUAAUUUUUUAAAAAAUAAUUUUUUUUGUGGGGGUGGAGGGUGGAGAGAGGUUGGGGGCAAGUACGAGGUGGGGGGUAGGGGUAGGGGUAGGGAUAGGGGAGUAUGAGUCGGGUAAAAAAAAUUUGAAAUAUGUUUUUGAAUGUGGGUAGUAGGGGGUGAGGGUCGGGGUAGGGGAGUGAGGGUGGGGUAAGAAAAAAUUGAAAUUUUAUNNNNNNNNNNNNNNNNNNNNNNNNNNNNNNNNNNNNNNNNNNNNNNNNNNNNNNNNNNNNNNNNNNNNNNNNNNNNNNNNNNNNNNNNNNNNNNNNNNNNNNNGAAGUAGCGAUGAGUGAUUUUGAGAGUUAUAUGAAUAUUUCAAUUUAAGAGUGAGGUUGAAAAAGAAUUUUGGAAAAUAUUUUCCUUACUUUUUGAAGGAAAGUCAUUUUCCUUAGUUUUAAGGAAAAUAAGUAGAUUUGAAAAAUAUUUUUCAAAACUUGUAAGCCAACCAAACAGGAGAAAACUGAAAAACAUUUUACAGAAAAUGUUUUCCUUCAUACCAAACACACCCUAGGACUUAAACGUUUAAGAAAUUGUGCUCGAUCAAUGUCACGUAAUAUAUCACAAGAGUUAAUUUUUCUCUAAAUUAUUUUUUCGAAGAGAACAACCGAAUGCAAAUACGUAUCAUAGGACUUGAUAAAAUGGUACCUUCAACAGGUCAAAAUGGGAUUUAGACUGCGACAUGUCAUGAUGAGUUUUAAGUAGUUAGUCGAAGUUUGGAUUUAGCUCCAAGUGGGAUGAGUUUUAAUCGACAUGUGAGUGAAUUACAAAAUGAUGAGUUUUAAUUAGUAUUAUUCCUAAAUUAUAUUUGAAGUUGUUGUGACGACGCACCUAAAUUUUACGAGGAUUUUAUUAUCCUUUUAAUCAGUUUUAAAAUGUAAUAAAUAUAUCCUUCAGUGCUGAUGUGGCAUAGAGAGUGUGUUCACUCUCUUAGAAGCAAGUGAGAAAUGAAAAAUAAGACAAAAAUUUGUUCAAUAAUGAACAUGUGUUCUUUUUAAUUGGACAUUUUACAAUUAGUUAGUACACAUAAUUAUAAGCAGUAAAAAUUAUAUAUGUUUAAUUAUUUUUCUUUAUUUAUUUUUAAAAAAUUUAUUUUCCUCCUCAUUUUUAAACUUUUAUUUUCUUUUCAUCUUUCAUCGAUUUCUCAUCUUUUCAAUUUUAAAUGAUUUGAAAAAUUACGUGUUUUUUCUCGAAAAAAAACCAAGAAAAUAAAAAAAAAUCUUUGCUUUAAUAUUUUAUUUUUUAUAUUUAAUUUUCUCAUUCUUUUGGUAUCCGUCCGAAGUUAGCUUAUUUUAAAUACAAAACAUUGAAAUUAAAUUAGAAAUCAAAUUCAAAGUAAAUAAAAAGAAUAAAUAAAAGUAAUAAAAAUAAUGGAAGAAGGUAAAAAAACAAUUACAUGUAUUUGAUAAUAAAUAAGAAGGAAAGAGAAAAUUAAAAAAUUUACAUAUAUUUGAAAUUUUUUUGGUCACUACAUCUAAUUGAUUUAGGUUGUGUUGUCAAGUCAACAUUAAAAUAUGUAUUUAUUACACUUUAGAAUAGUUUAGGGUAAUAGGAUUCCAGUAAAGUUUUGAUGUAUCAUAGUAACUUCGACUAUAGUUUGAGGGGAUAAUAAUGUCUUAUCUCUAGUUUAUUAGUUAAAUCUAAUUUGGGAGAUAGAAUAAGAUGAACCAUGAGAGUUAUUAAUCUCGGCUAUAAACUUAGGGGCAUUUGAGCUAAGCUUAGUAAUGAUAAGGGUAUAAAUAAUCUGACAUUAUAAAAAGGACAAAGUUAACUAAUAAAAAAAAUGGAAUAGUAUAUUUUACGCUUUUUCCCUUUUUAAAAGGAAAAAAUUGUGCUCUGUCCAUUGAGAAAAAUAUUUACGCGCUUUAAUUCAUAUUUAGAUUAGUUUGUUAUCCGGUUUAGCAUAUGUUAAGUAUAAACACCUUCUAUAUAUUAGUAUAUAUUUUUAUACUAGAUUGAUACAUAAUACAUUCCCAUAUGUAUAAUAUUGUAUAAAAUAAAAAUAUUACUAUAUGAUGUAACACUUUAUAUUGUGCUAUAUGUUUUUGAAAAUUUUCCUUUUCAAAAUAUAUAAUGAGAUGUCAUUGGAGUUAUUAAAAGAAAAAAUUACACAUCAUAGAUAAAAUCAAGUUUUUAAUUGCCUGAGAUGAUUAAAGUUUAGUUACCUUACAUGGUUAUUUGUUAAUUUUAUAACUGUUUUUCAUAUGGGCGCUCAUAUACAAAUAGCCUACAGUAAGUAUAUAAUUAAUAUACGAUUUUCUCUUACCUAAUUGAUUGCAAAAACACUCUCUCUCAUCUACUUGGCUAUAUUUGUUGUUGAGUGAACUAUGCAAUAUCAAUACAUGAUUCUUAAGAAUAUCAAAAAUUUUCUGUCAAUUGAUUCGUAAUUUUUUUAUCUCUAAACAUCUGCUUCGAUAUAUAUUGAUGAUUUUGGAGUAAUCUUUACAACUUUAGCGGUUGGUGGUUGAGAGAGACAACAGGUGGUGUUUAUAGCGGGGAGGUAAUUGAGGAAUUGAGUGGAUCGGCCGAAAAAAAAAAGAGGGAGAGAAAAGUGGCGUCGUUCUUGGGUGGACGGUGAUUGAAUGAUCGGCGGGAGCAAAGAUGGAGAGAAGGAGCGGUUGGUGGUUGAGGAAGACAGUGAUAAUGUUCAUGGCAAAAUUUGUCGUUGUCUCAUCGGUGUCGUGUAUGCAUGAUUUAUAUAGAGAAAAAAUUGAAAUCCGUCGAAUGUGAUUGUAUGAUCUAAUAAACGAAUACAUUUGAAGAGCGGCGUUGUUCAUCUCAAUUUUCUGGCCUCAUAUUCAGUUGAACAUUUGAGACAAACCUUAACCAAUUUGAGCAUUCAUUAACCAUUGAUGUAAUGUUUCUGCUUCAUCUUAAUUUUACGAAAAUCUUAUACAAAAAAAUGUAUAAUUUGAAAAUCGAAUUGUAUACUAGUGUCAAUUUCACAGGCUGAAUUUUGAUGAAUUAUUUUCAUAAUUGGAUAUUCGGCCAAAUUUUAGUGAAUUUUUGGUAAUUUUAUAUAGGUGAUUUAACUGUAUUCAGUCCUUUUUGUGUAUGUUUUUGUAUGUGGGUAUACAUUGUAUGUUUUUAUAUACAUAUGAAUUUAUUGGAUAUAUGUUUUUUGAUAUAUAUAUAUAUGUAUAUUAUUGUAUAUCGAUACAUGUGUACAAGUUUGUUCUAUGCUGGUACACAUAUACAUAUGCAGAUACAUAUGUAUAUAUGUUUGUUAUGUAUUCAUUUAUACAUUAUGCAUAUACAUAUGUGUAUACGUCUGUUUUGUGUUUUUUUGUGUGUGUGUUGUGUGUGUGUGUAAUUGUUUUCAUAUACAUAAGAUGAUUUUUAUAUAUUGUGUAUUACAAAUUAAAAUGAGUAUCAACGCAUUCAUAAUACUCAGAUUUGCUCACAUACGUAACCUUCAAAAUUUGAAUUUUAAUAUUCAAUAAUAAUGGAAAAUGUUAGAGAAUAACGAGGGAUGUUGGAGAGAAUAAAGAGAGUGAAUCACUCCCUUUUUCUUUUAUAUUUCUAAAUAUAACUGAAAUAAAUAAGACAAAAUCUGUUAGUUAAUAUUUGUAUAUUAGAAUACUAAAUAUUAGAAGGGGAGCCUUGGAGUAACUGGUAAAGUUGAUGGCAUGUGACCAGGAGUUCAAGGGUUCAAACCUUGGAAACAGCCUUUGGCAGAAAUGCAAGGCAAGGCUGUGUACUACACUCUUGUGGUGAAGUCCUUCCCCAUACACCACACAUAGCGGUAGCUUUAAUGCACCAGACUGCCUUUUUAUUAGAAUACUAAAUAUAUUUAAUUAAUAAUUGAAAUCUAUAAAAUGUAAUUAUUAAAAUUUAGACUAAAAAGUUAGUUAGGAGAGGUCUAAAUUAGAUAUAAAUAAAAAUUUUCCUUAUUAAAAAAUGUUAGUGAAGCAUGAUCUUAACAUAUUCAAAUUAAAAAUAGAAAGACUUAAGAGUCUAAAUAUAAAAUUCAAAAUUAUUACUACUACUAAAGAUUAAUCAACUUGGAAUAAUUAAUUAAGAGUUUAUCCUCCAUUCGUUAUACUACUACAACUUUGUUAUUGCAGUGGGGAUCUAAGUUUCUAGAAUAUAGAUGCAUUCAUUAGAAAAAUAAUUAAAAAAAUAUAUUUAACAGAAAUUGAUUUCUAAUCCUCUGAGGUAAAUAAUUCAAUUGUCAAUUAAAUGCAUUAUUUAGUCUUCUUGUUGCAUAAAUACCAUCCAGAUAAUAUUAUACAAAAUUUAGAAAAUACCUGCUCCGUUUUAAUUUAUCUGAAACAUUUUUAACUUCAAGAUUUAAAUAAGUUUUUCUUUGAUCAUAAUUUUCUUAUAUAUCUUUUAAAUGUCUUGAAUUAUGAAUUAUUAUAACUGAUGGUAGUACAUUUUACAUGAAUUUUUUAAAUAUGUAAAUUUUAUUUUAAAAAAUUUAAAAAUUUUAUGUCCAAAUUAACAAUCAAAAUUAAAUUAUAUAACUCUUGAAAUUCAAACUAUACCACAUAAUAGUCAAAACUAAGAAUGGUAUUGCAACAUUACAAAGUCUUCCCAUAAGCUGUUUUUCCUGAAUGCACCAAACAAGUAGUAUAUAACAUAUAUUAAUUGGGUAAUUAAUGAUCAAUAAAAUUAUUUUAUUAUGACAUUAUUUAGAAAAAUUAUUAUUUCGUUCACGUCAAAAGAUAUAUUCAAAGCAAUGGAUAGAACAUGGGCAUUGAGUGAUGAAGAUGAAUUUGAAUUAUCAAAUGAUCCGAACGAGAGAUAUAGUUAAAAUUACAACAAUACAAUGAUAUCUGAGUUGAAUUGGCGCAUAACAGAGACUUAAGAACUGAUACAAAAUAGGAGGGUAUUAGGACUUAAAUGUCCAAGAAAUUGCGCUAGUCAAUACUAUUAUAGUAUUUACCCUACUGAUUUUAAUGUUUUAGUCUAUUAGUUGUCUAUCAAUGAAAUAAGUAAGCUAACGUGGUUCACUUAGAGUAAAUAUGAAGACAGUAUUUUUUACGUGGAAAACACCCGGUUCAAGGUGUAAAAAAUCACGACAUGUACCUCUACAGGAUUUAACCCCAACUUCACUAAAACUCUUGAGCCUUAACAAUCAACAAAUUUCAAGACUCUUGUAAACUAGGAAUUAAACUUCUAACUCCUAUUUCUACAAUAACACAAAUCUUUCUAAGAUAAGUGUUCCCAAAUCUUCGAGUUUCCUAACUUGAAGACACAACUUCUAACUCAGUUUAUAUUUCACUGAGGCUAGACUUAAGACUCAUUACAACUCAAAGAACCAACCUAUUACACAAAGUUUACGGCUCUCUAAGUAAAGGACCAGGUUCUUCUUCAAGCUAGUGAACUGAUUUGCUGAUUGAGGCUUUUCUUAUUAGUUCAUGAGUGAAACUUCUUUUGAUGGUUUCUUCUAUUUAAGCCGACUCUCAUGUAGUCCUACAGACCAUCUAAUCUUCUUUCUUCAAUAGGACUCUUCCAGGCAGUUUCACUCCUAGUUGCAUUAUGUCUCCUUGACUGAGUAGGAUUCCUUUAUUUUCUCAAUUUUCAAGUGUUGUGUUUAUCUUUCUUUCAACCUCUUUUAUACAUGUGAUAAGCGUUGAAAGCAUAUCUGAAUUUCCCUGCUUAUCCACUCCUGACUUUACGCAUUAUCAGCCUUGUAUCUACUUCAAUGUUUCUCACAUAUGAGGACCAGCAUGAUUAACAUGGUUCAUUAACAUAUGUCAAUCAUCAAAACUUCUUUGCUCUAACAAAUUUCCUUUUUUAUGAUGACAAACCACACAACACAUGUUUCACAGCAUCACAACAUCCUGAUAUACUCAUUAAAGGAAUAAGACACAAGAACACCAAAAAAGGUUAGUCAUUGAGUUAUAAACAUUGCACAAUCUAAUACUUCCUCCUUUUGACAUCAUCAAAAAGAAAGGCCCGAAGUCAGAAAAACAUUGUUUAAUAAUCCAUGGCCAAUGAGGCUAUCACUAAAACAAUCAAAAUUCAGUGCAAAAGAACAUUUAUGCAUCAUGAAAAACAGAAGCAGAACACAAUUUAGCAAAUGAGUCCAUUUCAUUUAAGAGCAAUAUACAAUCAAAAUUACCCUGAAAUAGCUUAAAGAGAUAAUAGGCUAGCUUAAAGAGAUAAUAGGCUAGCCAGUGAAGGAAAUCAAAAGAACCAGUCCCAAGGCACUAAGAGGGAAACGAAGUAGAGGAAGAAGAGGGGAUAAGGGUGGUCAAUUUUCGAACAAUCUCAGUAUUUUCAAAUCGUUCACAUUCCAUAAAAGUCUUAAGAGAGUCAAUUUGAGCAAGGAGCUAUAUCUUUUCAGCAACAUGAGCAACCUGAGUAGCAUCCAGUGCAGCUUGAGCUAUUUCCAAUUCGAAAGUCUUAGCAGCAAGAGAAUUAGGUAACCUUUGCUCGGGAUUAUCAACACUCCUCAUGGAAACAGGUAACUCCUUAUGGUUCACAGUCCCAAUAACAUCCUUAGUAGUUUGCAAAGACCACACUUGAACAGGCACGUUAAAGUCCUCAAAAAUAGGAGUGACCCAGAAUUCAUAUGGCAAGGCAUGACCAUUCACAUCUUAGAGUAUUACCCUUUGCAUCUGCUAAAUCAUAAGUCGAGGUAAGUCAAUUCAAACUUCAGAGUCAAGCAGUUCCAUGAGAGUGAGGUCAAGAAAAUUUGCCACAGUCCUUCUUUCUUGGCGCAAAAUAAGCAUCUUAUGGACAACAUCAAAGUAAAGUUGAUGGAGUGGGGUCAUCUCAUGCUUAAGGAUUCUACAAUGAUUUGCAAGAUGAGGAUUUCCACAAAACUUGUGAGUUAUGUCAAGGGAAAAUGCCAUAUUAUCAAGCAGAGGUCAUGUGACCUUGACAUAAUAACCCCAACCUUCAGUAGAAAUGCGCAAAAUGCGAGCAAGGUCAGCAGCAAUAAGAUUUAUAGUGAUUACUCGAAUAAUGGUAGAAAACAUUUCCCCAAGAGCUACCCUAUUUGUAUAAAACUCAUAAACUUUAUCUUUCCCAAACUUACAUUGGUGAUCACCUUGAAGGGCCAACUAUGACCACCCCUAAGCCUCCAAUUUUGAUACCAGAACAGCCAUCCCAGGGCUCUCCAAACCCAGUAAUAAUGCUUCCUCUGUCUAGCUUUCAUUUUUGAAAAUACAUAAUAUGAGCAGAUUGAGAGGCACGAUCAGUAGGAGUUUACUCAUCAAACUCAAAAUCAGGAUCUAACUUAGUAGAGAGAGUAGGCGGGGUAUCAGAAAGUGAUUCAAAUUUAGAUGAGGCAGAAGGAAUAGGUUUCUCGACCUGUUUCUUUGAACGUGAAGAGGCUCUUUUAGCAAUGGACUUAGAAAGGGACUGUAAUACCCUGAAUUUUUUCUAGCUUAAUUUCAUUUCUAGAAUGUUAAGGGAUGGCUUCCAAAAUGAAUAAUAUCUAAUUCAUAUAGAAUUUUCUUGACUUCGACUUUCCAUUGUGUGGGAAAUUGAAUAAGUUUUUCAUCGAUAUCAAAUUCGCCCAAAAUCAACACCUGAUGAAGAAGUUAGAGCAUUUUUAGUAAGCAGUGUUCCAACUGGGCAGUAGCCGCAUUGCGAUGGAGGCCAAAUCUACAUUCAUCAAUUUCCAUUAUCUCAUCAUGAUUCCACCACGUUGUGGUGAGAAUAGCGAUGAGAAGGCCACUGCAUUGCGGUAGAGGCUAAAUCGACGUUUGUCGAAUUUCAGUGGGUCACCGCGAUUGCACCACAUCGUAGUGAACCUCAAAAUAGCAAUUGUCAAUAUCCAGUAAGUCAUCGCAAUUCCACCACGUCACGGUGGGAAUCGCGAUGACAUACUCAUUGCAUCGCGGUGAAGCCUUAAACAGCAUUCCAAUUAAGGAUUUUAAAUUCCAAGGGCAGUUUGGUCUUUUGCCUACUCCCCCAAAUCGUGAAAACAGAUGAUUAAAGGUAUUAUUGAGCAAAAUAUGCUCAUUCUUCAUCAAUUUCUCUCAAGUAAAAACCCUAAGGUUCAAUAUCCAACUUCAAGAAUCUCCAAAAGUUCACCAUUCUUCUUCCAAACUAAUUCAAAUUUCAAGAUUUCCAAGUCAAAACUCCAAGAAUCAAUAUUCAAGGGCACAAAUAGGACCUCAAAACCAAGCUUCUUUAUCUAGCCCAUCGUCUAAGGUAUGUGGGGUUUGAACAAGGAUAAAUCUUUCGUCCUUGUGCCCAAAAACUUAAUUUUUAUUAAAGAUUACAUGAUUUACAAGUUAGGGUUUACACCCAAACCAUCUCGUUUUGAGUUUAUGAAUUUAUAAGUGAUUUAAGUAUUGAAGUACAUGUUGUCUCAUUUAAUUAUGCUUUUACUUGAAGAUUUCUAUUAUGAAUUGCACUUUCCUAUUAUGAAUUGAUAUUGUUGAAUGAAUUUCAAGAUGAUUGUUGGGAAUGAAGCUUUAUUAUGAAAUUCUAAAUAUUUAAGUACAUAUGCUUUAAAAUCCAAGUAUGAUUUUUGACAUUUCAAGAAGAGUAUAUUAUUAGCAUGCUUUGACAAGUAAGUAUUCAGAUUUUAAAGAAAAUUGAUCUUUUGAUCCUAAGCUAAGAUAGGAAUCCACAUUAUUCAUACAGUUUAUGAAUUUAACCAAAGAGAAGCAUAAUUGGUUUUAAUUACAAACCCUUGUGCUAUAUUAAGGUGGAUUUCCUAAAAGUUCUGAGCAAUAAGUAUGGGAGUAGUAUUUAGCACCGAGUUAGGUAUGAUUCCAAGGUCUCAUGCCCUAGAACUAUGUGUCAUCGUAGGCUUCUAUUUUGACCAUAGUGGCCUAAGAUAGUGAUCACUUAAGUUAAGGUUCUAUUUCGAUGGCAAGGGCACAACAGCUUUCCCUAACAUGGGCAAGACGUUGGACUUCAUGCCAGCUCACAUGGUUUAUGUCGGUUAGAAGAAACUCCCUAAGUCCCAAAGUUCCAAGUUUUCAAAGAUCCCAAAGUCUCUAAGUUUCAAAGGAAAAGAAUGAUAGAAAAGCUUUUUAUAAGACUAACUGUAAAGGCUCAUAUAUUUUACUCCGAUAUGCUUUUCGAAAAGAUAAUAGUUAUAGUUUUCAGUUUUUCAAUUUCAAGUUCAAACGUGAGUUCUUUCUACACUUAGACAGCAUGAUUUAAAAAGAAAGUAUAAUUACAACCUUUAGAACUAAAUGUUAUGACUCACUAGAUUUACAAAGCUUGAUUUGUCACGCAUGAUUUCAGAUCUCAGUAUUUUAGACAUUCUAGCUUAUGCGAGUCAUUUACCUUUAGCAUACAUUGUCGUUAUAAAGUAUGAUGAUGUUUUCUUAUGCAUUACACCUCCAUAUACUCAGUACAUCCUCAAAAUGUUGAUCCAUAUAUAUGUCUAUGUCUUACAUUGUCUUAUAAUAUAGGUUUAGGUGCUCAGUAUCAGAAGCAUGAGUAGUUUGAGCAUCUCUAUCUACGCUCCCAUAAUUGGUGAGUCCUUAUGAUUCGAGCGCCUACUUCUUCAUAUUUCCAGCUUUCAUAGUACUUGAUUUAUCAUUUUCAUCUUAGCUCGAGUCAGUUAGGGGUCUGUCCCAACGACUCUCUAGUUCUUUAGUAGUAGAGGCUUGUCGAACUAUUAAUUGAUUUCUAGACUUUCAGUAUUUGUUAUUCAGACAGUGUUUUCAGUUUAUUCCAGCUCAGUUUUGAUAUAAUACAGUAUUAUUGCUUGAUUAGAUUAUCUUAAAGUAAGGUCCAGACCUAGUAGCAGGCUAAAAGGGGUUAACUUAGGGCUAAUCGUAGCCUUGAGCAUCGUGUGACAUCUCAGGAUCAGAUUUUGGGACGUUACAAGGAUGUAGGCUUUGAAGUAGAGGUGGAUUUUGGCUUAGAGGAAGGUGUACGAAAGGUAGAGGACUUUGGAAUUGUGCGUUUCAUCAUCUUUUCUUUACGCACUGAACGAAGAAGUAUAUCUAGAGACAAGGAAGGGGAAGGAAGAGGAGCAGAUGUAGCAACACGUUUUCUCUUACUUACUUGAAGGGCUUCAGCUAAGGAAGCUUCUUCUCGUUGCUUUUUUCCCACAAGUGUGAGGAAUUCUAAAAACAGCUAUAGAGGGGCUAGGCUCAAUAGGAUUUUGAUCUUCAACAACAAUAGGAUAGGGGGAAUGUUUUCUCUUAGAGUGGGAUCUUGAUUUUCUUGGUAUCAAACUUGCAAUUGGAACAUCAUCUGGAUUAAUAAUUUGGAGAGGAAUAGGAGAUAGUGAAAUGGGUGUAGGGAUGGAUUGAGAACUGGAAAAAUUUGAAAAAAGGGGUUUUUAAGAUUUUUUAAAGCAAUAAAAUUGGAUAAUUUUAUUUUAAUGAUGGGUAGAAUUAUAGGAAUACUAUUGGUGGUAGGGGAAGGAUGGUUUUAGUGGAAGGUAAGGUAAUGGAGUCAUGGAGGUUUGAGAAUUCAGAGGAGGAAGAAGAUGCCAUGGUUGAGAGAAACUUAAAGGUUUGAUUUGUAGUUGGUAGAGUUAAUGAAUAAUGAAGGAGAAGAGGGAAAUGUAUUUAAGGAGAAGAGAAAGAAGUUAAAACAUGGGUGGACUAUAUUUAGUGAAGAAACGUAAUGAGAGAGGUGCUUAGUGAUGAUGGGAAAGCGGUGGAAGUUUUUUAAAAAAGGACUUUUGGGUUUUGGGCAGUUUAUGGAGGAACCAUGUAGUAAACCUGUUUCUCUUUAUGCAAUUUUAGAUAAAAUAUAAUUGUACCUCAACCUUGUGGACAAGAUGGACAAAAUUGCUUGAGUGUUCCAGCAUCUCUGCAAAACCAAUACAUGAAUGAGUCAAUUUACUCUAAAAUCUUGGAAUUAGGACACACAACUAAAUGUGUAAUACUGGAUUUAUCAACAAACACUUAGGAGCACAUUGUCUUAUCUAGUCAAUCAUUGGGGGAGAUUUAUGCAAUUUUAAUCAUCCCCAAGGCUAACCUAUUCUUUUCAAAAUAUUCUCUGCCUAAUACCUUAGUGAAAAUAUCUGCAAUUUGAUCUUCAGUAGAACAAAACAUGAUUAAUAUAAAACCUUUUUCAAUAUUAUCUCUAAUAAAGUGAUGUCGAAUAUCAAUAUGUAUAGUUCUUUUAUAUUGGACAGGAUUCUUGGAAAUAUUAAUAGCACUUGUAUUGUCAUAAUAAAUGGGAACACAACCUACAUCCAUCCCAAAGUCCAUAAGUUAUUGUUUAAUCCACAAUAACUAAGCAUAACACGACCCAACAGCAACAUACUCAGCCUCAGCAGUAGAUAAAGCUAAUGAGUUUUGCUUCUUCAUGGACCAGGUAAUUAAACAUGAUCCAAGAAAGUAUGCCAUCCCAGUGGUACUCUUCCUGUCCACCAAAUAUCCUGUAUAGUCAGCAUCAGAAUAACCUACCAAGUUAAAAUUACUACCUUUGGGAUACCGUAGGCCAAGAUCAGUUAUUUCUUUGAGAUAUCGAAAGAUCCUCUUCACAGAUUUCAGAUGAGAUUCUUUAGGAUUUGCCUGGAAUCUUUCACACAACCCCACACUAAAUACAGUAUCAAGUCUACUUGUUGUGAGAUAAAUCAAGGAUUCUAUCAUUCCUCUAUACAAUUUUUGCUCCACAUCAGGACCUGUUUCAUCCGUGUCUAGUUUGGUGGCAGUAUCUAUUGGUGUAUUGAUCUAUUUAGCUUCUUCCAUGAAAAACCUUUUAAGAAGUUCCUUGACAUACUUUUGCUGAUGUAUCAUGGUUCCAGAGGUUGUUUGCUUUGUUUACAAUCCCAAAAAAAAUUAGCUCCCCCAUCAUACUCAUCUCAAACUCACAACUCAUGAGUUUUGCAAAGUUAUGGGUAAUAUUCAUGUUUGUGGAGCCAAAGAUGAUAUCAUCUACAUACACCUACAGUACUAACAAAUCUUUUUCAUUAGUUUUCAAGAAAAGACUGUUAUCAAUCUUACCUCUAGUAUGACCAUGCUCCAAAAAGAAUUUUGAUAAUCUUUCAUACCAAGCUUUGGGAGCUUGUUUUAGACCAUACAGGGCCUUGUCAAGCUUAUACACAUAAUCAGAAAACUCCUUACUCUCAAAUCCUGGUGGUUAUUUGACAUACACCUCCUCUUUGAGAAUAGCAUUCAAGAAUACACUCUUAAUAUCCAUUUGAUAGAGAAUGAAUACCAUAUAAGUAGCAAAAGCUACAAGUAGCCUAAUUACUUCAAUUCUAGCCACAGGAGCAAUAGUCUCAUCAAAAUCUAUGCCUUCUUAUUGAUUGUAUCAUUGGACCACCAAUCUUGCCUUAUUUCUUAUAAUUGUUCUAUGCUCAUCAAACUUAUUUCUAUACACCCACUUAGUCCCAAUUACUGUUCUACCUUUUGGGAGAGGAACUAAAUGUCAUACUUUACUUCUCUCUAGCUGUUUUAACUCCUCUUGCAUGGCUAUGAUUCAAUCAGCAUCAAGAAGUGCCUCAUUCACUUUCUUUAGUUUAAUUUAUGACAGAAAUGCUUUAAAAGCGCACAUGCUUCUCAACCCUGACCUUGUGGUGAUCCCAGAAGUGAGAUCAGUGAGCACAUUUUCAAUAGGAUAAAAUCCUUGAUACUUAUAUUCUUUUGGAACCAAUCCUUGUGAAGUACUAAAAUUACUGUGAUUAUUCUGUGUUGGGGUGGUUGGUGGUUCAGUUCCCCCUGUCAAUAUACCUUCAAAAUCAAUUCCCCUUACCAAGGUGCCUCCAUGUUUGUCACCAUCAGCUGAUGGACCAUGUUAAGCAACGUGUUCCUCAGAACCACUUCCUUCCUGUAUGUUAGUCUUAGCGUAAGAUCCAUCAAAUACUAUAUGCACACUUUCUUCAACACAAUUAGUUCUGUUGUUUAACACCCUAUAUGUCUUGAUAUGAUGUGAAUAUCCUAAGAAUAUUCCCUCAUCACUCUUAGCAUUAAAUUUUCCCAACUGAUUUUUCCCAUUAUUAUGAAUGAAGCAUUUACAACCAAAUGCUCUAAAAUAAGAGAUAUUGGGUUUUAUUUCUUUUAAUAAUUCAUAGGGAGUCUUUUCUAGAAUAGGUCUGAUCAUGCAUCUAUUCAUGAUAUAUGCAGUAGUACUAAUUGCCUCAGCCCAAAGAUUUUUAGCAAGAUUUCCUGCAAGCAUCAUUGUUCUAGCCAUAUCUUUCAAGGUCUUAUUUUUUCUUUCUACUACUCCAUUUUGUUGAGAUGUUUUGGGAGUAGAGAAGUUGUGAUCUAUACUAUUUGAUGCACAGAAUUCUAAAAACUUGACAUUUUUAAAUUUUGUACCAUGGUCAGACCUCAUGAAAAUUAGAGAAGUACCCAGUUUCUUUUUAAUUUUCUUGAUGAAUAUAGUAAAGACAUCAAAGGCAUCUUCUUUGAAAGCUAGAAACAAUGUGCAGGUAAAUCUGGAAUAAUCAUCAACAAUUACAAAACAUACCUUUUUACACCUCUGCUUUGAAGUCUCAUUGGUCCACACAGAUCCAUGUGGAUCAGGUUAAGGUACUUGGUUGUGCUAACAUGGUUCUUUGAUUUAAAAGAAGAUUUUACCUGCUUCCCCCUUACACAUGCACUACAUACCUUUUCUUCCUUAAACUUGGUUUUGGGCAAACCCAAUACCAUAUCUUUGGAAGAGAGUAUAUUCAAUUGUUUGAGACUUGUAUGUCCAAGUAUCUUGUGCCAAAGGAGGGGAUCUUUCUCUAUAGCACUUAGGCAGGUGAGCUCUGUUCCUGGCAUUGCUAUUGUGUCAGCUUUGUACACAUUCCGGUAUCUUUUUAUAGUGAGCACAAUCUCCUUGGUGUCUAUCCUCUUGACUUUUACUCCUGCAGAAGUAAAAAUAACUUUGCUACCUUUAUCACACAAUUGUGAUAUGCUAAUGAGGUUGUGCUUCAAUUCUUUUACAAGGUAGACAUCAUUCAAUGCUCUUGAUUCAUAUGUGUCAAUCUUUCCAACUCUAAUAAUUAUUUCCUUUUUGACAUCGCCAAAAGAAACUCCUCCUCUAUUUAUUUUGGAGAGUGAAAGGAACUUUUUCUUAUCACCAAUCAUGUGUCUUGAGCAAGCACUAUUCAGGUACCAAUGCUUUUUUUUCCUGUCACCUUCUCCUUCAAGAAAUCAAAGGUUAAAUUUAGGAACCCAUACAAGCUUGGGUCCUGUUUUAUGAGUAAAGGGAUGAAUUAAGUUUCUUUUAGUCCAUGCAGGCAACAGGUAACGUGACCUGUUUCUCUGACCAGUCUUAGUUUCCUUUUUCUUGGUUUGAAAGAAUUUAUUUACCAAAUUUAGACUACUAGAUCUACUUUUGGUAGAAACAGGACACUCAGUGGUUAGAUGUCCAAGAUUACCACAUAUAUAACACAAGUCUUGAGGAUCAGCAAGACUUCUGUGAAAACCUAGUCCUAUUUUUUCACUGUAACUUCUUUCACUCAACUUAUGAACAAUUCUUGAAGAAUUUUUCCACCUGUUUGCUCUUUUAAGAUAAAGUUUCAGUUUAGAGACUUCUUGACUUAGUUUAUUCACCAUGUCUGUUGCAUUAUUACACUCCUGUUUGUACUUGACUAAUUCAAGUUCAACAUUUUCUUGUUCUUUACUCUUGACCCUUUUUCCAUUGUCAGUGAGUGUUAAUUUUAAUUCUUCAGACUUAAGAUCAUUGUUGGAAGAAUCAAGUUCUACAACCUGUUUCUUGAGAGUGCAGUUUUCUUCGUCAACGGUGUUCUUGUAAACUUUUAAAUCAAUGAGAUCAAAUUUGAGACUUGCAAGACUGUUGAACAACUCAUCCCUAUCAGAAGUUAAUUCUUGGAAAUCAUCAAUCAGUGCACUCAUCAAGAAAACAAGUUUUGUUUUAGAAAACAAAUCCAAUUUUUCUUUAAGUUCAAGAAUACUUACCUCUGAAGCAUCAUCGUCUUCCUCCAAGUCUGAAUCGCUAAUAGCCAUGAAUUUUGUUUCAUCAACUUCAUCAUCAUCUGAAUCAGAUCACCAAGCUGCUACCAUAUAAUAUUCUUCCUUUUCCUUCUCCUUUUGUUUUUUUUCUUUUAAUUCUUUUUUAGCCCUUUCUUUUCUCCAUUCUAUUUCCCAGACGGGACAAUCCCUAAUCUGAUGAUCAUUCUUACCAGACUUAUAGCAUCCAUUUGGAUUGUCAAUGGAACAUUUCUUGCUACCUAUUCCCUUUUUCUUUUUAAAGAAUUUGCUGAAGUUUUUUGUUAUGAAGGUAACUUGUUUCUUGUCAAGUUUGAUUUCUUCAUCACUGUCUGAAGCCUUCAAGGCCAAGAUUUUCUCAAGGUCUACUUGUUCUUUAGUUCCAUCAAUUUUCAUUUCAUAAGUCCUCAGAUUCCCUACCAGUUCAUCCAGAUUCAUACGUGUGAGAUCCUUUGCCUCCCUAAUAGCGUUGAAAGCAUAUCUGAAUUUUUUUGCUUAUCCACUCCUGACUUUACGCAUUAUCGGCCUUGCAUCUACUUCAAUGUUUCUCACAUGUGAUGACCAGCAUGACUAACAUGUUUCAUUAACAUAUGUCAAUCAUCAAAACUUAUUUGCUCUAACAAAUACCACGUAAUACACUACAAGAGUUAAAUUUUACUCUAAAUUAUUUUCUUAAAAGAGAACAACCGAAUGCAAAUACGUAUCAUAAGGUCUAGACAAAAAUAGUACCUUCGGCAGGUCCAAGUGGGAUUUAGAAUGCCACAUGUUCCAUGAUGAUGAGUUUUAAUUCUGAACUAUAUUAUUCAUAACAUAUUUGUGAUCAUACUAAUGUAAGUUAUGACCCCACGUAUAUUGUGUUUUGUGACUCUAUAACUAUAAGUAGUCUCUCAAUUCUUGUGAAAUACUUUUUCAAAAUAGGGUUGCUACACCAUCAAUGUCAAAUAGCAGAACUGUAGAUUGGUCAAUAUUUUUUUCUAAAUAUCCAAAUGUUUGUGAUGAUGACAACUCAAAUCACAAUAGUUAUUCUAGUGGUUUCUCACCCGAUGAUAGUGAGUUUGAGUUAGAUGAAUAUAUGUCUCACCUUUUAAUAGAGCGUAAUGACGAUUUAUUGUAAGAUGAAAUUUUUAGAUCCACAUCAAUAUUACUGAGGUUUAUGUCGUGAAUAGACAUAUUGAUACGUUGAAUCACAACGUCUCAUUUGUGACUUAAAAAUCUCAGAGUACCAAUCCCCACAAGAUUUUAUAUGACCAUGCCCCGUACUAAUCAAGUCUUACUAGUUAGUGGUCAAUAAAAUUCGAAUACUAGCAAGAUUUUGUAGGUUUUACAUGCCCAAAUUAGCCCAGGAACAAGCAUCAUGAACGGAUAGGAAAUGGUAGAUCAAAAAGACAAGACAGGAUUAAUAAAUAGGCGGGUUACUGUAUUUUGACUGAAAUUGUUUGGGCUUAAAUGACUAAAAGCGUAUCAUAACUUAACCAACAACAAAGUUUUUUUUUAUUCUCUUUCUUAAGUACUUAUUACCUAAUAUUUAACUCUUUCUCUUUAUUAUGAUCAUACUAUAUAUAACACUAGUGAGUUUUACCACGUCAAUUUGUGAAAAUAUAUCAAUGAGAUUAUGUUAUAGCUUUUUAGUUAAAACUAAUUUGAGAGAUAGAAUAAUAAGAUGAAUCAUGAGAGUUAUUCAUAUCAGCUAAAAACUUAGGGGCUUUGAGAUAAGUUUGAUAACGAUAAGGGUAUAAAUUAGACCUGUCAAAUGGGCCGGUUGGCCCAUUCCAGCCCGUUUAACUUGGCCCAACUGAUGGACCCAGCCCGGUUAGUCUAUGGGCUGUAGGGCUGCCGAUCUCGGUCCUAGGCUGGCCAAAUGGGUUGACCUAAUGGAUCGGCCCGAUUAGAAAAUCGAACCUGGCCCAUCGGUUAACCAGACCGGACCAGCCCUGUUGGAAUUAAAAAAAUUAUUUUAUUUUAUAUGUGACUAGCCGUUGAGUAUUUGGCCCAAAUGGACCGUUGGAGGCCCAACGGCUAUAAUGUCGUUGGCUUCAACGGCCAUUUGGCCAAUUAACUUAUUAUUUAAAAAAAAAUUAAUUCCAAAAUUUAGUAUAAAUACCCCUAACUCAAAAUUUAUUUUUCACCCAAUUCUCAUUCUCCCAAAUCUCAAUCUUUCUCAAAUCUUCUAAUUAUCUCCUAAAGUGCUCAAUUAUAUUUUUUAAUUAUGCAAUUACAAAUACAAGGGGAAGUUUCUAAAGUCGCAACUUUUGAAUACUUCCAAAAUUUGGUACUGUCGUUCCAUUUCUUACCUUUAAUUUUUAAUUAGUGUAUUAAUUGUUGAAUAUUUAUUUUUAUUAUUUAUAUGUAUUUGAAAUAUUUUUAAUUUAUUUUUUAAUAUGAAUAAAUUAAAAAACAUCGGUAAAAGUGUCAAAAAAUUUUAUCCCGAAAGUGAUAGUGGUAGUAAAAAAUUAAUUGGUGGCGAUUCCAGUAGAGAUAGUUCAAGUAAUAGAUAUACCUGUGUGCCUCCGGUACCGGUUAGUCAACCCUUUGAGGAAGAAAUAGGUGCAGGUGCUCACGAUAUGGAUUAUGCAGAAGCUCAAAAAAAUUAUGGUAUAGAGGAAGAAAAUGAAGCAGAUGCGGUUAAUUUAAAUGAGGAUGAUGAUAAUAUUGGUGAGACACCCGCAUUAGAAAAUGCUAAUGUUAGAUCUGAAUCGGUUAAUCAUCCUCCAAGUCCUCCCUGUUCCCCAAGAGCUCGUAGAAAAAUUAGUAUUGCAUGAAAAAAAUUUCGAAAAUAGAAGGAGAAAGUAAGGUGCAAUGCAAUAGUUGUGAAAUUAUAUAUGAGCAUAAAACUGGAGGCAAUAAAGGGGGUACGAGUUCAUUGAUAAGACAUUUAAGAGAUAGACACUCUAGAGAGUUAUUUAUUGCACAAGGUGGUGAGGCUGUCGGUGGACCAACACAAACUAGAUUGAACGCAACAACCAGUCAAUUAACUAAAAAUAUAAUAAAAUGAAGGACCGGGAAGAAAUAGCGAAAAUAAUAGUCGUGGGUUGUUUGCCUUUCACUUUUGCUUCUUCUGAUGCUUUUAUUCAUUAUAUUCAAGCAAUUUAUAAUCCUAUGUUUAAUGGUAUUCCUAGAAGUACUUGUCGGGCCGAUAUUUUUAGACUCCAUGCACAAUAUGUUUAUUAUUUAUCUACAUUAUUAAAAUAUAUUCAAUGUAGAAUUGCUCUAACUUCUGAUCUUGGUCAUGCCGUUAAUAAAAAUGAUUAUUUAACCAUUACUUGUCACUGGAUAGAUAGUAAUUUUGUUAUGCAAAACCGUAUUCUACCUUUUUUGUAUGAUGAAGAUCGUAGACAUACUGAAAAAUUUAUUUUUGAAUCUAUUACUAAAAUCGCAGAAUAUUAUGGUAUUGAAAAAAAAUUAUGUAUUGCUUUUGAUAAUGCAUCUAACAACAAGGUUGCUAUUGAGAAGUUAAAAGUUGAUCUUUCUCUGCCGUUACCUGAAAUAUUUUAUUUAAGUGUGUUUAUCAUAUAUAUAACUUAAUUGUAAAAGAUGGUCUUGAAUUUUUUGAGCUUUAUAUUGAAAAGGUCCGACUUGUUGUUGGCUUUAUGAAUUUUGAUAAUCUUUCAUACCAAGCUUUGGGAGCUUGUUUUAGACCAUACAGGGCCUUGUCAAGCUUAUACACAUAAUCAGAAAACUCCUUACUCUCAAAUCCUGGUGGUUAUUUGACAUACACCUCCUCUUUGAGAAUAGCAUUCAAGAAUACACUCUUAAUAUCCAUUUGAUAGAGAAUGAAUACCAUAUAAGUAGCAAAAGCUACAAGUAGCCUAAUUACUUCAAUUCUAGCCACAGGAGCAAUAGUCUCAUCAAAAUCUAUGCCUUCUUAUUGAUUGUAUCAUUGGACCACCAAUCUUGCCUUAUUUCUUAUAAUUGUUCUAUGCUCAUCAAACUUAUUUCUAUACACCCACUUAGUCCCAAUUACUGUUCUACCUUUUGGGAGAGGAACUAAAUGUCAUACUUUACUUCUCUCUAGCUGUUUUAACUCCUCUUGCAUGGCUAUGAUUCAAUCAGCAUCAAGAAGUGCCUCAUUCACUUUCUUUAGUUUAAUUUAUGACAGAAAUGCUUUAAAAGCGCACAUGCUUCUCAACCCUGACCUUGUGGUGAUCCCAGAAGUGAGAUCAGUGAGCACAUUUUCAAUAGGAUAAAAUCCUUGAUACUUAUAUUCUUUUGGAACCAAUCCUUGUGAAGUACUAAAAUUACUGUGAUUAUUCUGUGUUGGGGUGGUUGGUGGUUCAGUUCCCCCUGUCAAUAUACCUUCAAAAUCAAUUCCCCUUACCAAGGUGCCUCCAUGUUUGUCACCAUCAGCUGAUGGACCAUGUUAAGCAACGUGUUCCUCAGAACCACUUCCUUCCUGUAUGUUAGUCUUAGCGUAAGAUCCAUCAAAUACUAUAUGCACACUUUCUUCAACACAAUUAGUUCUGUUGUUUAACACCCUAUAUGUCUUGAUAUGAUGUGAAUAUCCUAAGAAUAUUCCCUCAUCACUCUUAGCAUUAAAUUUUCCCAACUGAUUUUUCCCAUUAUUAUGAAUGAAGCAUUUACAACCAAAUGCUCUAAAAUAAGAGAUAUUGGGUUUUAUUUCUUUUAAUAAUUCAUAGGGAGUCUUUUCUAGAAUAGGUCUGAUCAUGCAUCUAUUCAUGAUAUAUGCAGUAGUACUAAUUGCCUCAGCCCAAAGAUUUUUAGCAAGAUUUCCUGCAAGCAUCAUUGUUCUAGCCAUAUCUUUCAAGGUCUUAUUUUUUCUUUCUACUACUCCAUUUUGUUGAGAUGUUUUGGGAGUAGAGAAGUUGUGAUCUAUACUAUUUGAUGCACAGAAUUCUAAAAACUUGACAUUUUUAAAUUUUGUACCAUGGUCAGACCUCAUGAAAAUUAGAGAAGUACCCAGUUUCUUUUUAAUUUUCUUGAUGAAUAUAGUAAAGACAUCAAAGGCAUCUUCUUUGAAAGCUAGAAACAAUGUGCAGGUAAAUCUGGAAUAAUCAUCAACAAUUACAAAACAUACCUUUUUACACCUCUGCUUUGAAGUCUCAUUGGUCCACACAGAUCCAUGUGGAUCAGGUUAAGGUACUUGGUUGUGCUAACAUGGUUCUUUGAUUUAAAAGAAGAUUUUACCUGCUUCCCCCUUACACAUGCACUACAUACCUUUUCUUCCUUAAACUUGGUUUUGGGCAAACCCAAUACCAUAUCUUUGGAAGAGAGUAUAUUCAAUUGUUUGAGACUUGUAUGUCCAAGUAUCUUGUGCCAAAGGAGGGGAUCUUUCUCUAUAGCACUUAGGCAGGUGAGCUCUGUUCCUGGCAUUGCUAUUGUGUCAGCUUUGUACACAUUCCGGUAUCUUUUUAUAGUGAGCACAAUCUCCUUGGUGUCUAUCCUCUUGACUUUUACUCCUGCAGAAGUAAAAAUAACUUUGCUACCUUUAUCACACAAUUGUGAUAUGCUAAUGAGGUUGUGCUUCAAUUCUUUUACAAGGUAGACAUCAUUCAAUGCUCUUGAUUCAUAUGUGUCAAUCUUUCCAACUCUAAUAAUUAUUUCCUUUUUGACAUCGCCAAAAGAAACUCCUCCUCUAUUUAUUUUGGAGAGUGAAAGGAACUUUUUCUUAUCACCAAUCAUGUGUCUUGAGCAAGCACUAUUCAGGUACCAAUGCUUUUUUUUCCUGUCACCUUCUCCUUCAAGAAAUCAAAGGUUAAAUUUAGGAACCCAUACAAGCUUGGGUCCUGUUUUAUGAGUAAAGGGAUGAAUUAAGUUUCUUUUAGUCCAUGCAGGCAACAGGUAACGUGACCUGUUUCUCUGACCAGUCUUAGUUUCCUUUUUCUUGGUUUGAAAGAAUUUAUUUACCAAAUUUAGACUACUAGAUCUACUUUUGGUAGAAACAGGACACUCAGUGGUUAGAUGUCCAAGAUUACCACAUAUAUAACACAAGUCUUGAGGAUCAGCAAGACUUCUGUGAAAACCUAGUCCUAUUUUUUCACUGUAACUUCUUUCACUCAACUUAUGAACAAUUCUUGAAGAAUUUUUCCACCUGUUUGCUCUUUUAAGAUAAAGUUUCAGUUUAGAGACUUCUUGACUUAGUUUAUUCACCAUGUCUGUUGCAUUAUUACACUCCUGUUUGUACUUGACUAAUUCAAGUUCAACAUUUUCUUGUUCUUUACUCUUGACCCUUUUUCCAUUGUCAGUGAGUGUUAAUUUUAAUUCUUCAGACUUAAGAUCAUUGUUGGAAGAAUCAAGUUCUACAACCUGUUUCUUGAGAGUGCAGUUUUCUUCGUCAACGGUGUUCUUGUAAACUUUUAAAUCAAUGAGAUCAAAUUUGAGACUUGCAAGACUGUUGAACAACUCAUCCCUAUCAGAAGUUAAUUCUUGGAAAUCAUCAAUCAGUGCACUCAUCAAGAAAACAAGUUUUGUUUUAGAAAACAAAUCCAAUUUUUCUUUAAGUUCAAGAAUACUUACCUCUGAAGCAUCAUCGUCUUCCUCCAAGUCUGAAUCGCUAAUAGCCAUGAAUUUUGUUUCAUCAACUUCAUCAUCAUCUGAAUCAGAUCACCAAGCUGCUACCAUAUAAUAUUCUUCCUUUUCCUUCUCCUUUUGUUUUUUUUCUUUUAAUUCUUUUUUAGCCCUUUCUUUUCUCCAUUCUAUUUCCCAGACGGGACAAUCCCUAAUCUGAUGAUCAUUCUUACCAGACUUAUAGCAUCCAUUUGGAUUGUCAAUGGAACAUUUCUUGCUACCUAUUCCCUUUUUCUUUUUAAAGAAUUUGCUGAAGUUUUUUGUUAUGAAGGUAACUUGUUUCUUGUCAAGUUUGAUUUCUUCAUCACUGUCUGAAGCCUUCAAGGCCAAGAUUUUCUCAAGGUCUACUUGUUCUUUAGUUCCAUCAAUUUUCAUUUCAUAAGUCCUCAGAUUCCCUACCAGUUCAUCCAGAUUCAUACGUGUGAGAUCCUUUGCCUCCCUAAUAGCGUUGAAAGCAUAUCUGAAUUUUUUUGCUUAUCCACUCCUGACUUUACGCAUUAUCGGCCUUGCAUCUACUUCAAUGUUUCUCACAUGUGAUGACCAGCAUGACUAACAUGUUUCAUUAACAUAUGUCAAUCAUCAAAACUUAUUUGCUCUAACAAAUACCACGUAAUACACUACAAGAGUUAAAUUUUACUCUAAAUUAUUUUCUUAAAAGAGAACAACCGAAUGCAAAUACGUAUCAUAAGGUCUAGACAAAAAUAGUACCUUCGGCAGGUCCAAGUGGGAUUUAGAAUGCCACAUGUUCCAUGAUGAUGAGUUUUAAUUCUGAACUAUAUUAUUCAUAACAUAUUUGUGAUCAUACUAAUGUAAGUUAUGACCCCACGUAUAUUGUGUUUUGUGACUCUAUAACUAUAAGUAGUCUCUCAAUUCUUGUGAAAUACUUUUUCAAAAUAGGGUUGCUACACCAUCAAUGUCAAAUAGCAGAACUGUAGAUUGGUCAAUAUUUUUUUCUAAAUAUCCAAAUGUUUGUGAUGAUGACAACUCAAAUCACAAUAGUUAUUCUAGUGGUUUCUCACCCGAUGAUAGUGAGUUUGAGUUAGAUGAAUAUAUGUCUCACCUUUUAAUAGAGCGUAAUGACGAUUUAUUGUAAGAUGAAAUUUUUAGAUCCACAUCAAUAUUACUGAGGUUUAUGUCGUGAAUAGACAUAUUGAUACGUUGAAUCACAACGUCUCAUUUGUGACUUAAAAAUCUCAGAGUACCAAUCCCCACAAGAUUUUAUAUGACCAUGCCCCGUACUAAUCAAGUCUUACUAGUUAGUGGUCAAUAAAAUUCGAAUACUAGCAAGAUUUUGUAGGUUUUACAUGCCCAAAUUAGCCCAGGAACAAGCAUCAUGAACGGAUAGGAAAUGGUAGAUCAAAAAGACAAGACAGGAUUAAUAAAUAGGCGGGUUACUGUAUUUUGACUGAAAUUGUUUGGGCUUAAAUGACUAAAAGCGUAUCAUAACUUAACCAACAACAAAGUUUUUUUUUAUUCUCUUUCUUAAGUACUUAUUACCUAAUAUUUAACUCUUUCUCUUUAUUAUGAUCAUACUAUAUAUAACACUAGUGAGUUUUACCACGUCAAUUUGUGAAAAUAUAUCAAUGAGAUUAUGUUAUAGCUUUUUAGUUAAAACUAAUUUGAGAGAUAGAAUAAUAAGAUGAAUCAUGAGAGUUAUUCAUAUCAGCUAAAAACUUAGGGGCUUUGAGAUAAGUUUGAUAACGAUAAGGGUAUAAAUUAGACCUGUCAAAUGGGCCGGUUGGCCCAUUCCAGCCCGUUUAACUUGGCCCAACUGAUGGACCCAGCCCGGUUAGUCUAUGGGCUGUAGGGCUGCCGAUCUCGGUCCUAGGCUGGCCAAAUGGGUUGACCUAAUGGAUCGGCCCGAUUAGAAAAUCGAACCUGGCCCAUCGGUUAACCAGACCGGACCAGCCCUGUUGGAAUUAAAAAAAUUAUUUUAUUUUAUAUGUGACUAGCCGUUGAGUAUUUGGCCCAAAUGGACCGUUGGAGGCCCAACGGCUAUAAUGUCGUUGGCUUCAACGGCCAUUUGGCCAAUUAACUUAUUAUUUAAAAAAAAAUUAAUUCCAAAAUUUAGUAUAAAUACCCCUAACUCAAAAUUUAUUUUUCACCCAAUUCUCAUUCUCCCAAAUCUCAAUCUUUCUCAAAUCUUCUAAUUAUCUCCUAAAGUGCUCAAUUAUAUUUUUUAAUUAUGCAAUUACAAAUACAAGGGGAAGUUUCUAAAGUCGCAACUUUUGAAUACUUCCAAAAUUUGGUACUGUCGUUCCAUUUCUUACCUUUAAUUUUUAAUUAGUGUAUUAAUUGUUGAAUAUUUAUUUUUAUUAUUUAUAUGUAUUUGAAAUAUUUUUAAUUUAUUUUUUAAUAUGAAUAAAUUAAAAAACAUCGGUAAAAGUGUCAAAAAAUUUUAUCCCGAAAGUGAUAGUGGUAGUAAAAAAUUAAUUGGUGGCGAUUCCAGUAGAGAUAGUUCAAGUAAUAGAUAUACCUGUGUGCCUCCGGUACCGGUUAGUCAACCCUUUGAGGAAGAAAUAGGUGCAGGUGCUCACGAUAUGGAUUAUGCAGAAGCUCAAAAAAAUUAUGGUAUAGAGGAAGAAAAUGAAGCAGAUGCGGUUAAUUUAAAUGAGGAUGAUGAUAAUAUUGGUGAGACACCCGCAUUAGAAAAUGCUAAUGUUAGAUCUGAAUCGGUUAAUCAUCCUCCAAGUCCUCCCUGUUCCCCAAGAGCUCGUAGAAAAAUUAGUAUUGCAUGAAAAAAAUUUCGAAAAUAGAAGGAGAAAGUAAGGUGCAAUGCAAUAGUUGUGAAAUUAUAUAUGAGCAUAAAACUGGAGGCAAUAAAGGGGGUACGAGUUCAUUGAUAAGACAUUUAAGAGAUAGACACUCUAGAGAGUUAUUUAUUGCACAAGGUGGUGAGGCUGUCGGUGGACCAACACAAACUAGAUUGAACGCAACAACCAGUCAAUUAACUAAAAAUAUAAUAAAAUGAAGGACCGGGAAGAAAUAGCGAAAAUAAUAGUCGUGGGUUGUUUGCCUUUCACUUUUGCUUCUUCUGAUGCUUUUAUUCAUUAUAUUCAAGCAAUUUAUAAUCCUAUGUUUAAUGGUAUUCCUAGAAGUACUUGUCGGGCCGAUAUUUUUAGACUCCAUGCACAAUAUGUUUAUUAUUUAUCUACAUUAUUAAAAUAUAUUCAAUGUAGAAUUGCUCUAACUUCUGAUCUUGGUCAUGCCGUUAAUAAAAAUGAUUAUUUAACCAUUACUUGUCACUGGAUAGAUAGUAAUUUUGUUAUGCAAAACCGUAUUCUACCUUUUUUGUAUGAUGAAGAUCGUAGACAUACUGAAAAAUUUAUUUUUGAAUCUAUUACUAAAAUCGCAGAAUAUUAUGGUAUUGAAAAAAAAUUAUGUAUUGCUUUUGAUAAUGCAUCUAACAACAAGGUUGCUAUUGAGAAGUUAAAAGUUGAUCUUUCUCUGCCGUUACCUGAAAUAUUUUAUUUAAGUGUGUUUAUCAUAUAUAUAACUUAAUUGUAAAAGAUGGUCUUGAAUUUUUUGAGCUUUAUAUUGAAAAGGUCCGACUUGUUGUUGGCUUUAUUCAUGAAAAUAAUCGAAGAGGUAGAGUGAGAGAAUUUAAAGUUAAAUGUGAACAAAAUAGACUUAGACCGAUAUUCAUGCCUGAAGAAUGUGAUAUUAGAUGAAAUUCUACUUAUAAUUAUUUAAAAACUUGUUUUGCUUAUAAAGUUCCUAUUACUAUGACUUUUAAUCAAUUUAUGGUUCUUUUUCUGAGUGUAUGAUACAUGAUUCUGAUUGGACUGCAAUUGAUGAUCUUGUUAAGUUUUUCGAAAGAUUUUAUAUAGCUACAGUUGAAUUUUUUGGUACUUAUUAUCCUACUGUUUGUAAUAUUUUAGCUUAUUUAACCGACAUUUCUUGUUUGCUUAAAAAAUAUAAGGAUAGAGAAGGUUGCAAAGAAGUUGUUGGUGCUAUAUUGACUAAAUUUAAGAAGUAUUUUUUUCGCUUUUCCUAAUUUACUUGGUUGGUGCUAUACUAAAUCCAUACAUGAAAUAUAAUACUAUGUGCGACUUUAGUACUGUUAUUUAUAAUUCCUUAGAGAUAGAGCCUCAUGAAAAAUCAGAUUUGUUUAAGGCUAUGAAUGAUGCAAACAUUUACGUAGAAGCAUUAUAUAAUCAUUAUGCCGAAUUAAUUGAUGUAGCUGUACCGACAAAUAUCACUCCAACUGUUUCUCCUCAAGCUCCCGAUGAGCCAUCAUCUUCUAAAAGGUCGGCAUAUAGUGAUUUUUUUUAUUUCUUUUAUGAUUUAAAUAUUUAGGACAGGAUUUUUCCGUCAACAACAUACACAAUAAAUUAUCAGGAAGAGCUUAGGUAUUAUCUUUGACAGCCGACAGAGGAUCAUAGAUCAAGGAUCAACUCAUUGGAUUGGUGGAAGAAUAAUGAAAGACAAUAACAUGUGCUUUCAAGAUUAGCUAGAGAUAUAUUGAAUGUUCCAAUGUCAACUGUUGCAUCAGAGAGCGCUUUUAGUCAGGGACGACAACAACUUGGAGACAACCGACACUCAUUGGGAAGAAAUGCUAUGAAUAUUCUAGUUUAAAUUAGAGAUUGGAUUGGAGCGGAACGAACAAAUCAAGGAAUGGAGGUGGAGCCAAAAAACGGACAGAAUAUUGAAGAGAUUCUAACUUCAAGGGAGAACUCAGCAUAAUCAAGUCCAAUGCAUGAUUUUGUCCCCAUUGAUUUUGAUUAUCCUAUGGAAGUUCCCGUUAAUAUUAACAUGAACGAGUUGAAAAAAAUGAUGCGAAAUUUGUAAUUUUUCAUUCAUGUCAAUUAUAAGUUUUGGAUCAUUUUUCAAUUAAUAAAAUACAACAAUCAUUCACUCCUUACUUUAUAAUUUUUUUCCAUCUAAAUUGAAUUUCUUGUUUGAAUUAAAUACUUUUAAUAUAUUACUACCAAAGUAUCAAACUUUACACUAAGUAAUAAACAUAACAAACAUAUAUACAAAUAUAUUCUACAUAUAUACACAAGUGGUACUUAAAAUAGUGUGUGUGUGCGUAUGUAUAUAUAUAUACAUGUUGUAUUACUAUUAAACUUUACACUAAGUAAUAAAUAUAACAAACAUAUAUCAUGAAAAAUUAAAUAUCUUGUAAGUUAAAAUACAAUGAAAACAUAUAAUGAAUAUAUGUUCAAAACUUCAACUAUUAUGAUAUUAAGAAGCAUACAUUGUGGGUGUGUUUGGUAUUAGGAAAAAUAUUUUCUGAAAAAUGUUUUUUUAUUUUCCCUUGUUUGGUUGUACUAAAACAUUGGGAAAAUAUUUUUCAAAAUGACUUAUUUUCCUCUAUUUGAGGGAAAAUGACUUCCCUCAUGGGCCAAGGGAAGUCAUUUUUUAGAAAAUGGCAGAUGUGACUUUUUUGCCCCCACCCCAACAACACUCAAAUUCACAUUACUCAAAAAAUUUACAUUACUCAGAAACAUUUUCACUGUGUUUUGCUUCAAUUUUUCACUGCUUGAAAUAGAAAAUAUUGAAGUUCGAAUUUUUCCAUGUUUCCAAUGUUCGUUGAAUGUAUUGUUAUUUCUAUGUGCAUAGAGGAAGACUUACCUAUGUUACUUUUGCUAAUUGCAUAUUCCAUUUUGUCAUCGUUGUAGCUUGUUUUACAAGGUUGAAUAAGCUCGUCGUUCAAUUGUAUUUCUAUUGAUUGUGGUUUUUUGAGAUUGUCCUGAUAAAAUAUUGAAAAGUAUCUCCUAUGUUUGUUAAUUAAUAAUUGCUUAAAAUUUAGUGACUUGUAAUAUCUUAAUACUCGAUAUUGAUAUUAUUUGUUAUGCUUAAAUUUGUUCAGACUAUACUAGUUAAUAGUUAGUAGUAUUUUCUAAAAAAUAUUUUUUCACUCACCAACCAAACACUAGAAAAUAUAUUUCUGAAAAAUACUUUCUACUCACCAAUCAAACACCAUAAAAUAUUUUUUGGAAAAUAUUUUCCUCACCAACCAAACUUGAGAAAAUAAGUAGAAAACCAACUUACUUUCGAGGAAACUUUUUCAAGGAAAACAUUUUCCAUGGAAAAUAUUUUCCAUGGAAAAUAUUUUCCAUCAUACCAAACACACUCUGUAAUCUUGUAUAUGAGUUUCUUAAAGUACUAUAAUAUGUAAUGUAUAUAUCUUUCAACUUUAAGUGCUAUUUAAAGUAGUAUAUAUUCUACAUAUAUGUGUAUAUAUUUUCUAUGUUUUCUAAAGUAAUAUAUAUUUAGUGUAUAUAUGUUGUAUGUAUAUUAUGUAGAAUAGUAUAUAUUGUAUUGUACGUAUAUAUGUGCCUAUGUUCCUAUAGAAUCUAAUUAGUAUCUAUUUAAAGUAUACACCCAUAUAUUUUUUCUAAAGUAGUAUAUAUUUAGUGUAUAUAUGUUGUAUGUAUAUUAUGUAGAAUUGUAAAUUUAUAUUGUAUUGUGCGUAUAUAUGUGCGUAUAUUUCCUAUAGAAUCUAAACUAGUAUUUAUUUAAAGUAUACACACGUAUAUGUUUCUAAAGUAGUAUAUAUUUAGUGUAUAUAUGUUGUAUGUAUAUUAUUUAACAUUUUUAGAAUGUAUAUAGAUGUGUAUAUAUUAAAAAAUAUAUGAAAAUAUGAUUUUGUUUAAAAAACAAUUGAGCAGUUUUUACCGGUUUUGACAGGUUUUUACCGGUCUGGACCGCAUAAUUACUAAGUGGGUUGAUUCCGGUCCAUUUGAGCAUACUUUCCUGUUUGGGCCCUGACCGAACAGACCCGUUUACAAUGACCCGGUACAGGAACCAGCCCAAAAUCGAAAAAUUUUCACGGGCCGAUGUCAAUUUGACCCGGAUCGGCCCACUUAACAGGUUUAGUAUAAAUAGCCCAAUAACAUUGAAAAGGAUAAAGUUAACUAAUAAAUGAAAAUGGAAUAGUAUAUUUUACCUAUUUUUUUCCUUUUAAAAGGAAAAAUUAUACUCUAUGUCCACUGAAAAAAAUAUUACAUGCUUUAGCUCAUAUUUUCUAUUUGUUAUCCCAUUUAGCAUAGGAUUAAUAUAAGCACCUUUUUAUACUAGUAUACAUUUUUAUAUAAGGUUUUUGUUUUUGGUUUUUUCAUUCGGUGUCCGGUAUCCGUAUUGGAGUCCGAUUAAUCCGGAUUCUUGCCGCGUAGGGUCCCAUUUGGGGGGAAGCGCUCCCUACCAAGGAUUUUUCAUACCCAGGGCUCGAACCCGAGACCUCUGGUUAAGAGAGGAGCAACCCCAUCCGUUGCACCACAUCCUUUGGUAGUCAUUUUUAUAUAAGAUUGAUACAUAAUAUUUUCCACAAGCCACAUGUAUAAUAUUGUAUGAAGUAAAAAUAUUGUACUACAUGAUGUAACAUUUUAUGUUUGGCUAUAUAAAAAUUGGAGAUCUUUCAGGAAUAGCAGCACUUUGCUAUAAAAAUCACAUUUUAUAGUCACAUUUUACAUAAUUACCAUUCGUAGCAGAUAUAUUCAAUUUACGCCCCCCUGUAUUCAAUUUUAUCGAUAGUAUAUAUUCAUAUAAAAUAUGAAUCCAAUCCCUAUUUAGCCACUGUAUUCGAUUCACAACCACUAUAUUCACUUUUACUCAGUGGUCUGUAUUCACAAAAAAUAUAAAUACACUACAUAUUUAGUCUCACCAAAAACACUGUCAUUUUUUUAUAUUUUUUCUUUUUCGUGUUUUCCUCGUUUUUUCUUCUUCUUCUUUUUUGUAUUUUUAAUUUUUUUCUUUUUUUUAUUUGUUUUUGUCUCUCUUCUAUCUCUAGCUUCUAUUUUUCUUUCUUCUUUUCUUUUCUUCUUUGAUUUUUUUCUUUUUUUUUUUGUACUUAUUUUCUUUAUCAUUUUUUUGUUCUAUUUUAUAUUUUUUGUAUUUUUAAAAAAUAUGACUACUCGAGCACAAGUCAUGGAUGAUAACGUAAAUACCACAAUUGUUAUCGUACUUAUAGUCACACCGUCAUUUAUAUUUUUGUAUUCAUUGAUACAACUAUAUUUGUAUUUGUGUCUUAAAGUUCACACUUGUAUUAGUAUUUUGUAGUUCACAUUUAUAUUUGUAUCUUAUAGUUCGCACUUGUAUUUGUAUUUGUUAGUUCACACUAUCAUUUAUAUUUUAUAUAAUUCGCACUUAUAUUUUAAAGAACUGUUUUGUAUUUUUAAUUUAUAAUUGACUGUAUAUUAUAUUGGAUUAUAUUUGUAUUGUGAUUUUAUUGUGUUUGUAUAUUUAGAUUAUAUUUGUAUUUGUAUUCUAUUUUCAUCAAUGUUUUUUUAUUUUUAAAAAAUUAUUUUAUUUGUGUAUUUGUAAAUUGAUUGCACAUUGUAUUUAGCCGUGGUUAUGUACAAUUUAUCAUUUGUAUACAAACAAGUAAAUACAUUAAUUGUAUUUUCUUGAUUCUAAAACAUAUAAAUAUGUAAUGUAUCAUUUGAUACAAAUGUACCGUUUUGCAUUUGUAUGUCAAAAUUAUCAUUCGUAUUUGUAAAUAAACAAAGAUCAUUCGAUACAAAUAAAUGAUUUUACAAAUACAAAUACAAUACAUAUUUAUAUAAAAAUUUGAAUUGUAUUUAUUUGUAUCAAUAAAUACAAAAAGAGAAAAAUGGAAAAAAGAAAACGAAAAAGAAAAAAGUGAAAAAAGAAAGAGAAAACAAAAAAAAUGGAAAAUAAAAAAAUUGAAAAAGGAAAAAAAAAAGAGUAAUAGAAAAUAGAGGGGGGAAAAAAAAUACAUAAGAGAGGCUAUGAAUUGUUAUUAGGAAUAAUUAAUAGACAAGAGAGGGCUAUAAAUUGUAAUUAAUUAAAACUUAAGCUAAAUAAGAUAAUUAAGAGUCUAUAUUUGUUAAGUUAUGUAGUUAUCCCAUAAAAAUUUUCGUUUUCAAAAUAUAUGGUAAGUUGUCAUUAGAGUUAUCCCAUAGAAUGGGAAUAUCCCUUGGAAUUUAAGGCUUGAGUAAUCUUCUCAUACCACUGUCUACUAGCUUGCUUCAAAUCAUAUAAUGAGUUAUUUAACUUGCAUAUUAUACCUAGUGCAUCAUUACUUAAACCUUAAGGAAUGUCCAUGUACACUUUUUCAUGCAAGUCACCAUGCAAAAAUACAUUAUUGACAUCCAAUUGGAAGAUAUUCCAUUAAUUUUUGACUACUGUAGCAAUGAAAGUCCUCACAGUUAUCAUCAUUAAAACUGGUGAGAAUGUUUCACCAUAGUCUAUACCAGGAUGUUGUGUGUACCUUUUCACCACUAACCUGGCUUUGAAUCUCUCUAUGGAACCAACAACUUUAUGCUUGAUCUUGUACACCCAUCUACAUCCAGUUAGUUUUUUGCCUCAGGGAAAAGGUACUAAACUCCAUGUACUAUUGGCAUGAAGAGCCUCAAACUCUUGGAUCAUAGCAGUUUGCAAGCAGGGUACAUUGAUGCCCCUUCAUAAGAAGUUGGCUCAUUGUCAUGACAAUGUUUCUUAAACAGUGCUAACUAUCAAGGAUCAAAGCAUUAGAAGUUAUGUGGCUAUAUAAAGAGAGAGAAUCAUACAAAGAGGUAGAAAAUCCCUGAGAUGUGGUAGGUUAUUCAAUUCGGGCAAAUGAUGGACAUUGUUUGUGAGGUAUGAAGGAACCUUAGAUGUCCUAUUAGAUUUUCUAGGUUCUACAUGUGGUUGAGAGGAGGAAGUUAGUGGUGGUGAAGAAAUAGGAUUUGAAUUAGCCUGUGGUACAUAGGUAUCAGGUACCAGAUAUGGACUUAUGGUACUCUCCACUUACUGAUCAUUUUGUACAUUUUUUGACAACUCUAUUCUCGGACUCAUAAUAUCUUCAGUGAAGUGAAGAACAUCAAGAAUUGGAGAAUUUUUUGCACAGACUUUGGAGAAGGAAAAAGGAAAAACAAUUUCACAAAAUAUAACAUCUCUAUUAACAUGUAAUUUUCCUGUGGCAUGACUUAAGACCUUGUAUCCUUUUGUCCCAAAAGGAUAGCUAAUGAACACAUAUGGCGAGGUCUUAGGAUCAAGUUUGUAGUUGGUUAGCAAAGGCAACCAAAACUCUUAAUAUAUGAGUAGGUAGGUUUCUAUUUAUAUAGCAGCUCAAAAGGAAAUCUAAUUAUUGUUGAGAAGAUGAGUAGAAAAUCUAUUGAUGAUAAUGUAGAGUAAGUAUACACUCUUCCCAAUAUUUAAGUGAAAGUUUGGAUUGAAAUAAAAAUACUCUAGCUGUUUUCAAAAGAUAUUUAUUUUUUCUUCCCACCACACUAUUUUAUUGUGGUUUAUAUAAACAAGUUUUCUAGUGGAGUUAUUUCUUGGGACUGAAAGAAACUUAUGGCCUCACUACUAGUGAAUUCCAGACCAUUGUCUGGCCUUAUUAUCUUAACAAUUGUUUUGAAUUGGUUUUGGACCAUGGUUAAGGAAGCCUUUAUGACUUGAAGAGCAUUAGUCUUAGAGCUAAGAAGAUGAGUCCAUGUAACUCUACUAUAGUCAUCAGCUAAGGUAAGGUAAUAUUUGUAAUUAUUGUAUAUUGUCACAUGGGGUAUGAUCCCCACAAAUCAACAUAAAGUAGUUAAAAAAUAGUAAACCUAUCUUUGGUUUUGGUGGGAAAAGGGAGCUUGUUUUGUCUUUCCAUUGGACAAAUAGAACAUAAAAAAUGUUAUUUGAGUGAAUUUCACCAGGAUUGGCAUACUUUUCAUUUUAGCAAAAGGAACAUGGCCAAGUCGGUAAUGCCAUAAUAAAUCAGCACAAUUUUUAUCAAAUGCACAACUUGCCAUAAAGGACACACUACUUUUAUUGUUAUUACUGAAUAUAUGGUAUUCUACCGUAGGGGAAUGACUGGAAUGGGAAUGACUCAAAUAGUGUACUUUGUCAACUAAAUUGGACAUGAAAUUGGAAGGAAAAAACAUGAAGCAUGGAGACAAAUUUUGAUGGAGAAGUACUAUUGCUUUCCCUCAAACAGGUUGAGCAUAGUAAAUAGAGGCCAUCAUACGCAUUACUAAUCUCCAGAGGUCUCGUCAGUGAAGGGUUCUGAAAUAAACAGAAAGAAUUAGAAAAUGAAACAACACAUAUAAGAUAUGAAGUACGACUGGUGAUGGAAAUUAGGAUGUAUUUGAAGAAUGGGAUGAAUAAGACCCUGUACAAAGUGGUCUUGGGGGGCAGUACUAAAUUCCUCACCUUUGUUACCUUUACUUUGUAACCAUUAUAAAGUCUAACUAAUAGGGGAUAACGAAUUGUAAACACAUUAAUAAGCUGAGAUCUAUUAAAGGUCAUGUUAUGGGAUGCUCCUGAGUCUAAUAUCCACAAGUCAGUUUUGCCUUUGAAACAACAACAUGACAAUUUAUCAAAAUCUAUUGAAAAAGUGCAAGCAAUAGUACCUGCAAAAUUGACAGUUCCAAGAGUCUUAACAUUGUUGAUAGAGAAAUUUGGUCCAUAAGUGGCAAUGUUGAAGUGUUCAAGUAGAUCAAAAAGGUGAUCAAACUGUUUCUUGGAAAUGCUUACAUUAGGACCAUUAUAUGUUGAUUUUUCAUCCUUGGUAGAAGUCAUAUUUGAUCCUUCCGUGUAGUGGCUACUACUCUUUUGCCUUAGUUGUUGUUGAAUUUGUUAUUGUAUGUACUAUUAUGUGAUUUUUUAUAGUUAUCGCUAUAAUGAGAAAGUGAUUGGCUUGUAAGAAGUACCUAUGCAGCUUAUAACUUCUAUCCUAAAUGUGCCCUGGCCUCUUGCUGUGAUCACAUAAUGGUCUAGAUCUACUAGGUCCAGCCCAGAGCUCCCAAUAUAACUAGUUGAUGAAAAAUUAGUUUGGAAACUCUUUGUUCUUGUAGUACUGUCACUAGAGAUGUGGACUCACCAAACAAUUGGUUAUGUUGCUUUAAUUCUCUUUGUUUCUCUUCCUACACGAGUAGUCCAAAUGCUUAACCCAUGGAAGGCAACAGGUCCAUCUACCUCUAAUUAAUGUAUAAAUGUUAUUAAGCUCCAUAAGGAAUUGAAUUAACCUUCGGUCCUAUUUAGUCUUAUGAAUGAGGUCUUUAGCCCUACAAAUGCACUGGCAUGUGAAUAUAUGUUUUGUAGCCAAUACAUUCAAUUCUUCCCACAACUUCUUCAUCCUGGUGUAGUACCCUGUGAUAUCCAAGGCAGUGGCGGAUCCAGCUCAUAGUGAAGGAGGUUCGUCGGCGGAAAAUUAUACUAUGUAUACAAGAUUAAAAUUAUUUUUCAUAUAUAGUUAACGCUGAACCCCCUUCGACUAAUUAUUUAGUUCACAUUUUUCAAUUUUGAACCCCCUCAAUUAAGAUGCUUGCUCCGCCACUGAUCCAAGCACCUUGACUUAAAUCAUUUAUUUCUUCUGAAUUUGACACAGUUUAGCCCCAUUAGUUUGAUUAUAUUGAUCUUUCAGUUCUCUCCAAUUUUUUGCAGAAUCAAUGACAUACUCAACGCUAUCAGCAAUAUCCUUAGAGAGUGAGUUUAAGAUCCAAGAGGUGACUAGGUUGUCGUACCUUUCCCAUUGACGAAGUUUACUAGAAUGAGCAUCUAGUUUCCUACACUCUCCAGUAAUGAACCCAAGCUUAUUUUUGACUGAGAAUGACCUCAAUGCACUCUUUUUCCAUGAGUGAUAUCCAAUUCCAUAAAAAAUAACAUGAACUAAGCUUGUUCUAGCACUAUCAGAGGGAUGAAUAUAUAGAAGAUUACUUGUAUCAAUCGUAGCUUCAGUAUUAGAGGUCGCACCUUAAUUAUUUGUUGUAUGACUGCUACUUGCAUUGUUGACCACUAUUUUUGUUGAAAAACGAUAUUAGUCCCAAAUUGAGGAGAAAGCAAAUCAACGGAAAAAGUAAUUCACCCCGUUUGAUUUGAUGAUUGUGUUAGCAAAUAGGAAGAAAAGGAAAAGAGAAACUCUCUAAAUUUAAGAAUGACUUUUGAUGAACAAUGUUGGAAAUUUCCUCGAUCACAGUGAGGCCAAAGUAUGAAAGUGAUGCUUUGAGCUAUCCGAGCUCUGAUACCAUGUCAAAAUUGCUUCAAUCAGUCUCCAUUAACAAGGCUUGAACCCAAGGAGGAUGCCAAGAAAUGUAGGAAACAGAGAAUGAAAGGGAAUCACAUAUUUGAGAAUGAAAAACUGAUUUCAUUCUAUGUGGAAGGUCUAUAUAUACACGGGAGAUUGUAUUAGGAAAUAUCUAUGUGCUAACAAUUAAGCUACAACUGCCAUUACUAAACUAACCGAC